rnacentral:lncRNA from 1 species
UUUUUUUUUUUUUUUUUUUUUUUUGUCGAUAAAACAAAAUUCAUUAUUGGAAAAAGAAUACAGCUCCUAUUGAUUUACAUCAUGGACUGUCCCUACUAACUUAAAAGAAUACAACUACAAUAAAAUCACCCCACUACAAUAAGAUGACCCGUCCAUAUAUUAGUUUUUCAUGAAUUAUAUUUGUGUAAGUGAAGAAGGUGAUAAACGUGGGGUAUUUUAGGUCGUUUAUGUUAAAAUACAACUCAAGUUUAAGUUUGACCGGGUCAACUAACCGUUGACCAAUGUAUGUUACAAAUUUGUAGGGUCUCACUAAUUAAGUUAAAAUUUGUGGGGUAAGUCUAAUAACAUUGAUAAAUCUGUGGGGUAAGUCUAAUUUGCCGUAAAAAUAAAUAAAUAGAAAGGAAUCAGGCAAUGGAAUUCCUGCUUGCUAAAAAAAAAAAAAAAAAUGGAAAGAAAUGGCAAUCAAUUUCCUCUAUCUCCAUUGUCAUCAAAGCCCAAAAGACUUCUACAUCAACCUUCAAGUCUGAGGCGUGGCCUAGAGACUGAAGAUAGGUCAGGUUGAAUCCAAACAUGAAUUAAGUCCAACAAGGUGGAUCCAAAAAUGUGCGAAACACAGUAAUGCCAACAAAUUGUUAAUUAGUUUUGAAGUAAAAAAUGUGUUACUAAAAAACUUUCUUCUUAGCUCGUUCCAGCAUACUCUGAAGAACUUUGGUGAUCAGAUUGAUUAAUCCUUGACGACCAGAUUGAUUGAUUUUCAUCAACUUUAUCUAGUAUUUUUAUUUCUUCUCUCAUCUCUUUCAUUCCUUCUCCUUCUUUCUUUCUUUGGUUUGUUAUUCUCUAAUUUUGUUCAGCUUUAUUAUAAUCAAUUUUCAAAAUUUUACUCUUUUCCAUCUCAGUUUUCUUCAGGGAUUAGGCCUAAACUAAAGGGUGAUGGCAUCAACAUCCGAUUCCAAGGAUAGGCUGCUCCUAAAUGACAAUUAUGAAGAUCUAGAGUCGCUCUUCAAUGAGAAACUGAUUCUCCCUGGUUCCACAAAGCCUAAACCUCUUUUGGAUAUCCCAUCUAUCUCUACCCAACAAUUUAGUAAUGUUGUGUUCGGUAAAAUUAUCGUGGCAACAUAUGUUCCUGAUACUGUUAUUCCAAAACACCUUCAGCAACAAUGGAAACUCCCACAUGAAAUUCAUCCUAUUCCAGUGGGAAAGGAAUUUAUAAGUUCGACUUGGAUUCCAAAGAGGAGAAACAAUUUAUCCUAUCAAAAGGACCAUGGGUGGUCGGCGGAUAUUUUAUGACAUUUAGCUCUUUGAAGCAAGACACUACGGUUGAGAAAUUAAAUUUCCACGAUUUGGCAGUUUGGGUUCAAAUAUAUGGCCUUCCAUUGGAAAGAUACAACUGGGAGAAUGGUUUCAACCUUGGUAGAAGAAUUGGCAAACCUAUUGAGGUUGACGAAUCUACACAUUUCGGAGAAUUUGGUUCCAUUUUAAGAGUCAAACUCAUUAGCGACGUGAGAUUGUCUCUCCCAAAUGGAAUUGAAUAUUUGGAUGGUCAGAACAAAUAGAAGAUUUUCCCAAUACGAAUCGAAAAAUUGCAUUUGUUUUGUUUUAGCUGUGGGAAACUAGGACAUGAAAAGAAAUUGUGUGGGGAUUGAUUUGGCAUGAGUUCUAGUGAAACUAAUCUCGUUAAAAGAAGAUACUUAAUUUCUUUGAAAGGUUUCACUCCAAGUUCGUGCGUUCAUCUGUUUCAAUGGUUUCUGGAUCAUCAUCAAAUGCCAUCAUCGCAGGAAGAACCGCCGGACAAUAAUGACCACUCCACUGAUGUAUCACAUGAUUCUGUUUCACAAAUGCAAGUUGAUAACUCUACGACCGUUGAUCAAACAAAAGGAAAUCCUUCAUCAUCAUCGUGCUUAUCAAGUAAGUCUACUGAUCAACCAGUAUCAUCUCAUUCUUCUAAACAAUCAGAUGGGCCCACCUAUACUGUUUCUACCCUAGCUACCUUUGAGAACAAAAACCCCAAAAUGCCCCCCUUAAACUCAUCCAUAUCUUCACUUGCCUCUUCCUCAGUCAAGCAUGACCAACAAGUGUUGCCUGAAACUCCAAAAGCCCCAAAAUCCGACCUCCAAAAAUCUUCUCAAAACCCUAAAAAUCAAGAUGUCAAAAAAUCUCUUUCAUUACCAUCAUCAUCGUUACUUGUUCUCCCCUCCAUUCAAUUAACCAAAAACCCAUUUCCCCGGAUUUGGUUCCAUCAACCGAUGUUUCAAUCAUUACAACCACAUCAAAACUCUCACCUUCAAAGGAUAAAUCCCAACUUAAGAUCACCAACAGAGAUUCCCCUACAUCUGUCGAAAAUGCAAAAUCAAAAUUAUACGCGCCAUCCUCUCCAAAUCCCCUCACCAUAUCCCAAAGUCCGUCUCCAAUUAUCCAACCUUCAUCUACUAAACAGCCAUCAAAUCAAUUACACCAAGUGUACAUUUCUCAAAAAAAUAAUUCAAAACUAUCCACCUUAAAUCCUAGCCCUAAUCCCAUUCAACUUCUCCAUUCAAACCUACUAAAAAGAUAUAAACAGUCCAACAUGCAGAACAACUCUUCCUCCAACUCUGUUCGCCCAUCUGAGAACAACAUUGAUAGAGUGAUAGUGGUAAAUUAUGGUCCUCCUAGUCCAAGAAGGCCAGCUAUCAAACGCAAUAGAGAUGAUGAAGACUGCUUAUCUCCCAGGACGCAAAGUGUGAAAAUGAAACGGCAGAAGAAGGAUAAUAACAAUGAGAUUGAUGAGAAUUUUGAAAUAAACUCAGUUGAGAAUGAGGAUGCACAUCUCAUGGAUAGUGAAGGGACUGAAACUGUUGACCCUUCAAGAGAUCAAAUGGAACGAGGGGAGCCUACUCGGAAAAGGAGAGCCUUUGAUGACCAGAUCCCGAAAGUUCAGGUUCAUCUCUAUCUGACUUUGAAUUACAUCUAUUAUUUAUUUUCCUUCAAUCUGCUUCAAAUUGUUCUACUAAACUUCUUAAAUAAUUCUGUUUUGUUCUCGAAUUCUCUUUGGUCAAUAGUUAGUGUUUUUUCUUUCCUGCAAGAUGCAUGUCCUAUCUUGGAAUCUAAAGGGUAGUGGGAAACAAUCCAAACUCACUUACUUAAAGGAUAUGAUUUGGGGUGAUUUAGGUUUUAGUCACCAAACUUCAGUAUAAAUUAGGGUUCACGGAUGGUUUUUUUCUUAAAUAGGGUUCAGAGAUGGUUUUCCAAAAAAACCAUGAAAAACCCAAAAUAUUUUAGAAAUACCAAAAAUUACCCCUGAAAGCUCACGUGACUUGUACGUGGUAAAUCAAAACAUAAAUCAGAGAUUAGUAACUUAAAUCUCCACAUCACCUGCACGUGCAUAUUUUGUUUUAUUUUUUGGAUACAAAUCUCAACAAUUCAACGGUCAGAAUGCUUGCAAAUUCUUAUUCUUCCUUGCUUUCCAUGAUUCCAUCCCUUUAUUUUCUUCACAACAUCAUCUUUGUUUCGCUUAUUACAUUGUGCAUAUUUAUAAACAUUGAUGAUAUCUGCAAAUCUUCUUCCUUCUUCUUCAUCGAAUUCAGUGUUUCAAUCGAUUGUAACGAGUAUUCUUGCCAUAAUUGUUGGACAUCCAGAUCUUUCAAAACCUCUUUAGUUGUCCAGAUCUUUCAAACCUCUUUAGUAGUAAAAGAAGCAGAAACAACAGCAAUACAUAAAGAUGAAGAUGAAGACUUCUUCUCUUUCAGUGACGACGAUAUGGACAAAGCAAAUCUAAGGUGUUCAACGCAUCAAUUACAUUUUUUUUGUAAGAAGAAAUUAAAAUCUCUAAAUUAAAGAAAAUAUCUCAAAUUGAUCGAAUUUGGUAAUUGGUGAUGAUUAAUUACCUUAGGGCUUCUGGAUUGAUCGAAUCUGGUAAUUGGUAAUAUGGAAUCCGAGUAUGUAGAUUAUCUGAAUUUUGAAAUUACCUUAGGGAUUUGGGUGUUAGGCUUCUAUUUCCCUGCUAUAUCACCUUUUUUUUUUUUUUUAUGAACGCACAGAUUAUAACUAGAUAGAUCUCUGCCUUAUCGGAAAAGUUAAUCUCGUGCAACUCACGUGACAUUUUUAUAAGGGUGUUUUGGCCAUUAUUGAAUAUUUUUUGCUUCAAGUAGCGGUUGAUCUCUGAACACUAAUUAAGAAAAACCCAUCUGUGAACCCUAAUUUAUACUGAAGUUUGGUGACUAAUACCUAAAUCACCCUAUGAUUUGGAAGCAUAGUCCUGAGGUAGUAUUUGUCAUGGAAACAAAAGCUUUUCCCUCUCAAAGUCUUAAACAAUUUUCUCUUCCUCAUUUUGUUUUUGAGUCUGUUGUAGGUUUAAAAGGUGGUUUGUGGCUUCUUUGGAGUAACAAUGUCACCUUAACUAUACUACAUCACAGUCUGCUCAUUUCAUUCAUGUGUCUAUUGAUCAUCAAAACUCAAACUUUUCUGGGUUUUAUACUUUUAUUCAUGCACCAUAUGUUCCAAAUGAAGGACAGGAUUUCUGGAAUAACCUUAGCCGAAUUGGAGAUGUUGUCACUGGUCCUUGGGUCAUUAUUGGUGAUUAUAAUGAAACUCUUUUUCAAUGGGAGAAAUGGCCAUACCCUCUAAGGAGAGUACCCCAUCUUCUCGAGCCUUGGAAAAUCUUAUUUCAACUCAUGAUUUAUUUGAUAUAGGUUUUUCUGGUGUUAACUUCAGCUGGACAAAUGACCAAGUUUUCAACAAAGUAGCCAAGUCCAGAAUUGACAAGGUCUAUGCAAACCAUCAAUGGACAAAUAACCAUCCUCAUGAUGUCUUACAUGUUUAUCCCAUCAUGCACUCAGACCAUAGCCUUGUACAUUUUGAUCCUCACCCCUUGAAUGAAAAAAACCAAAAAGCCUUUCUUCUUUAAAUCUUGCUGGUUAGAACAUCCUAUGUGCUUAGAAGUAAUUAAGAACUCUUGGAAUGAUGUUUGCGAUAUUUGACCUAUUCAAAAUUGUUUUCAAAAAUUAGAAAAUAUUAAAAAAGUUGUUCUUGCAUGGCAUAAAAAUUAUUAUCAAAAACUCAAAAAUGAUAUUGCUUACUUUUCCAAUAUUUUAUCUUAUCUCCAGUCACAACCACCAACUGAAUUUUUGGUUGAAGCUGACAAAGAUCUUCAUGCCAAAAUUCAGGAGAUGAACUCUAUAGAGGAAAGCAAUUGGUGGGAUAAGUCUAGAGAAUUUUUUCUUAAAUGUGGGGACCAUAAUACUAGUUUUUUUUCAUAGGUCGAUUGUUUGUAGAAGAAAUUCAAAUCGCAUAUUUUGUUUACAAAAUUUUGGUGAAAACUGGUUACAUACUAGGUCAGAGAUCGGUGAUUUUAUUGUGCAUUACUUUCAUACCAUGUACACUUCUUCUGCUCCUGUGUUACCUUCUCGUGCAUUGCAUAACAUUCAUCAUGCCAUUUCUUCUGAGGAAAAUAUCUCUCUUACUCAAGCUUUUGAUUUGAAUGAAGUCUGCCUUGUUUGAGAUGAAACCUUACAAAGCCCCCGGGAGUGAUGGGUUCACUCCUGGGUUUUCUCAAAAAAAUUGGAAUUUGAUCAAAAAUGAUAUUUUCAAAAUAAUUAAUGAUUUUUUUAAUCACAAUUUAUCCCUUCAAGCUUUAAACCACACAAAUUUAACUUUAAUACCUAAACAACCGCAUCCCUCUCUCUUACAAAAUUUUAGACCCAUCAGCCUUGUAAAUGUCCUUUAUCGAAUUUUAUCCAAAGUUCUUGCAAAUCGAUUAAAAACUGUUUUGCCAAAUAUUAUUUCCCCUUUUCAAACAACUUUUUUGAAAAAGAGAUAGAUCACUGACAAUACAAUCCUAGCUCAUGAAAUUCUUACAAAAGCUCAAAAAAAAAUAAAAAAAAAAUAAAAAAAAAAAAAAAUAGAGUUUAGGGAUGUGUUGCUGUAAAACUUGACAUGCAUAAAGCUUUCGAUCAAGUUGAGUGGUCUUUUGUUUUAAAAAUGUUGAAUGAUUUGGGUUUUGAUAAUACUUGGUGUGAGUGGAUUGAAAAUUCUACUUCUAGUACUUCCUAUUCUGUAAAUCUUAAUGGUCAGCCUCAUGGUUUAAUCCGUCCUUCUAGGGGGCUCCGCCAAGGAGACCCUCUUUUUCCUUUUCUCUUUAUAAUAUGUAUGGAAUACUUGUCUAGGUCUCUCACUAAGCUACAAUCUGAUGGUCUCAUUCAUGGAGUAAAAUUAAAUAGAUUUUAUCCCCCCCCUUUCCCAUUUGUUUUUUGCUGAUGAUAGCUUUUUAUUUUUUAGAGCAAACCUUGUCGAAUGCGGUCAUAUUUUUUAUUGUCUCAGGUUUUUCUCUUCCUUGUUUGGUCAGUCUAUAAACUUUCAAAAAUCAUCUUUGUUUUUCAGCCAAAAUGUCCCAACCAGAUUUCAAAAACUUAUUUCAAAAUUUUUUAAAAUCCCUUUGAAUACUAGAACUUCUUCUUAUAUCUGGGUACUAUUUUAAACCCUGCCAAGCCCCAUGCUACAAAUGCAGGAAAGGUUUUGAAAACUCUCUCAACAACUUUUAAAAAUUAGAGUUUUAAGCUUUUGUCUCAAGCUGGUAGGACAACUUUAAUUAAAAGUGUCUCCUCUGCUAUCCCAAUUUAUGCUAUGCAAACUUAGUUGUUUUCAAAAAGGGAUUGCGAAAACUUGGAUCAGUAGAAUAGAAAUUUUUGGUGGAGUCCUGAUAGUUCCAAGAAACUUCAUUUGCUUAACUGGGAUUGUAUUUGCAAAAAAUAAGAAGGUUAGUGGUCUGGGUAUCAAAAAAUCUUUCUUCCAAAACAAAGCCUUAAUUUCCAAACUGUGCUGGUGUAUCCUUACUCAGCCUGAUGAGUUAUGGGUUCAAAUUUUAAAGAAAAAAUAUUUUAAAAAUUGUUCUUUUCUAACUUCAAAAGCCCCAGCAAAUUCUUCCAGGUUUUGGAAAAAUCUAGUAAGAAUUAAGAAUCAAGUUAAGUUUAAUUUUUGUCUUAGAGUUGAUCCUGGUUCUUCCAUUGACAUUUGGAAAGAUCUUUGGAUACAUACUCUUCCCCUUAAAAAACCUUUCGGUCAUGCACCAAACUAUGCUCCUCUUUUGGUUUCUGAUCUUUUUGAUGAUGUCUCUGUCUCUUGGAACUUAUCUGUUUUAAAUGCUUGGUUUCAGCCUCAUGAAGUCUCAAAAAUUUUAAAAAUUAAAUUGUCCAGGUCUUUAACUUCUGACGCCUAGGUUUGGCUAUCAGAAAAUAAUAGUACCUUUUUAGUUAAGUCGGCUUACACUUGGUUUCAUGCUCAAGUUAACUCUGUAGUUCCCCCCCCCCCCCCCCCUUUCUUCCUCUAUGUGGUCUUGUCUUUGGAAGUUAGAAGUCCCUCAUUGAAUACAGCUCUUCAUGUGGAAAUGUAUGCAUAAUUGCAUUCCUACGAAAAGCCUGUUGUGUUCUAGAAAUGUUGUAGACAAUAACCUUUGUCUUAGAUGUCAUUUGCAUCCUGAAACACUUAGUCAUGCUUUAUUUUCAUGUAGUACUAUGAUCUCUGAUGUUUGGUUUGCCAGUCACUUAGUUCUAAGAUUUUCAAAGUGGCCUCAAAAUUUUACUUGCAUUGAUGUUUUCUGGCACUUGCACUCCAUGUUUUCUUUUAAGAACGAUUUUAAAUCUUGUAUUUCUUUUGUUGCUUCUAUUGCAUACUUUAUUUCGACAAAUAGGAAUAAGGUUGUUUUCAAAAACAAAAAUCCCAAACCAUCAUCUCAGAGUAUUUUACUUACAGCACAUAGAUCACCCAUUCCACAACCACAACCAUCACCUUCUACCCAAUCUUAUGACAUCAAAAACUCUCUUUUUCUCAUGGUCACUGAUGGUUCUUAUGAACCUUCUUCUCACACAGCUGGAGGUGGUUUUGUCUAUGGCCAAUAUGCUCAUAUUCCAUCUUUUGCAGGAAGCAAUCGACUUACUGCAGCAUCAGCCGAAGAGGCGGAGGGGUUAGCUAUCAAGGUCGGCUUAAGUUGUGCAGCUAAGGAACAGGUUCAGUGCCUAGUAGUCUUGUUAGAUUGUCUGAGUCUAGUCAACCAGCUUAAUGGUGCCGAUACAGUCUUUUGUUGGGAGUAUGAACAAGGACGGAGCUAUGUUGGCACAUAAUGGGGCACGUGCCCCAGUGAUUUUUGGAAAAAAAAAAUUAGUAGAUUUAUAUGUUACUCAUGGAGUCAUGGCCUACUAUAAGCAGAUCAUUAGUGCCCCACUGAUUCAAUAGAAUUGGGCUUUGCACAGUCGAUUAGACUGUUGCCUAAUUGGAUCAAUCUGAAAUCAAAUACUCUCUUUCUAUAAUUGUAUCAAAGUGAAAUCAAAUACUCUCUUUCUAUCUUCUUCAUUUUCUUAAAAGCACUAGGUUUUAGUUUCAUACCAUCCCACCCAACUUAACAAUUAAACAACUAGUUACUCAAUCUCAAUUCUCAAAAAUUGUUUCUUGAUCCUUUCCCCAAUUUCUUAAUACAAAGACAAAAUUAUAGAUAUAUAAUUGCGAUUGAAAAUGUAUUUUGAAGAAUUUUCUUUGUCAAUAUAUUUGGGAUCUUGUGAAACUUUUAUGUAAAUGUCAAAAUCUUUGCUUAUUUAAAAUGUUGCAUUACUAGUUAAAAAAAUUUAUAUUUUUUAUUAAUUUAUUAAAUUACAACGUGUAGAAAAAAAAAUCCCCACUUCUUCGAGUGCCCCACUCAAAAAUAAUUUUUGGCUCUGUCCUUGAGUAUGAAGGUCUCAUUGCAGACAUAAAGGGCUUGAAUUAGCUUCUCAAUUCACUUUUUGCAGUUUUGCGCAUGUGCCUAGAGAGCUAGUUAAUUGUGCUCAUAUAUUAGCAAAUGAAGGCAGGAUGUUGUUGUGUAUUGGCUCGCAAUGCGCAAGAUCAUAGCUUAUAUUAAGUAAGGUCUAUAGGAUCAUAUCUUAUGUUUGUUUCUAGAAACAAUGUAGGUAGGAAUUCUACUCCCAUAAGUACUUGGUAUUCUAAUUGGUAUUGUUAUCCAAUUUGGAUCCUUGUAUGGAUUAGGAACUCUUGGGUAUUAUAUAUACUCAACUAGUUGGCUAUUGUAAAGGGGUGGUAAAAAGAGAGAGUGAAUCAAAGGUGAAAGCAUUACUAGAUAGGGAGAGACAAAUUUAUGAGAGUUUUCAUAAUAGGGUUUCUCAGGUUCUAGUGUGUGAGAGAAAGAGAGAAAGAAUUAUAGAUUUGUAAUUAGGUUGUUUCUUUUCUCUGAUUAAUAAAAUCUUCUUGAUCGGUUACCGGGUGGAGUAGGCAGGUUUUGCCGAACCACGUUAAUAUUGGUGUUAUUGUGUGUGAUUGUGUUUUUCGAUUACUUUCUCUGUUAUUUGUUAUUAUCUAGAUUAUCGGUAUUACAACCAAUCCUUGGGUUAAAGCUUCCGUUGCACAACAGAUGUAUGGUCCUUAUACUGUCAAACAAGUCUGUAAAUGCCAAUAUGGCAUCUCUUAUCUUCCUUUUAGGGUCCUUAAUGCUUUCAGAGAGAAGAAGCAGAUCGAUGAUGUGUAUAAACUGUUAUCUUUUGUUUAAUGCAAAGUAGUUUAGAAAAAAAAAAAAAAUAAUUAUUAAUUAAAAUAAAAAUAAUUAUGUGCUGACUAAUGACAAUCAUAGUCCCACGUGCUUAGACGAUCUUCAUCUUGUAGUGGAAUAUUCUCUCUCUUUAUCCAGUUCAUAUAACAACCUCUUUCAAUUUGUGUACUCUCUGGUUCCAUACAAAUUUCCGAAUUAUACAGAAAAGAGCAAUAUAAAAACAUACUUCAAAAGAAAGUAUAAUAAAUCUCAAUAUAAUGACAGGCACAAUUCAUCACUCAUAACAACAACAAUCUUUACUGUAGUAGUCAGUAGAUGAAAGAGCAAUGACUCGAUCAGUUACAUGUCACAACACUUUCCAUCAUCCGAUCCCAAAAGCAUUUAAGAACACCAGACUUUACAUAUAUAAAAGAUGAACCAUACACAAACUCUUUAUCUUGAUUGGCAUUUCACAUGGGAUAUGAUGAACAACGUAUAAACUGGUCUAUCUCUAGCUAACCAAAUUUAAAUUGCUUUUCUUUAAUCCAUCAUGCCUUCUUUGUGGCCACUAAUAAUAAUAACUGUCUACAUAUAAGGAGAAUGAUGUACGUAUUUUCUUACUUUAGAGUUUAGAUGGUCUUUAUUUGGUACCAUAAACCAUGUACAUAUAUGCAAGACUCAUUCCCAUCUUAAAUGGUUCUUAAUGAAACACAUCUAUUAGUUUCUUAUACAAGACUCAUGGAAAUACUUCAUACAAAAUUUAAUGUAUACAGAACCAUUAUACAUUUUUAGAUGUUCAUGUGGUCCUUUGGAAAAGAGCAUGCAACCAUUAUACAAAAUUUGACUGUUCACUUUCCAAUUUCAACAACGUUUCGAAAUUUAAAUGGAUCCGAUUAUAUUUUUCAUACUACGUACGUAGAUGAAGUAUAUUAAUUUUGGAAUUAAAUUUAAGCUUAGAUGAAGUUAACCAAAAGAAAGAGAUUAAUUAAGAGCUUUGUUGUUAAUUAAUGAGUUUAUGAGUGUUUCUUCUCUACACACAAACGACACUUUGUCCAUUAAAGAGACGUAUUUCGUCCCAAGUAUUAUCACGUGAUAUAUUUAUGAAGAUUUCAGAAAUCCUGAUUACCUGCUGCUGAUUACAUUUUAUUAUUUAACUCUGACUUUGAUCAACGUUCAUUAGUUUUUCUUAAUUGCUUAUAAAUAUAGACAAAACAUACAUGUUUAAUUAAUAGAGUUGGGACAUCGAAGUUUGGUGGAACAUAAAGUAUAAUAAGAGAACAAGAAAAGUGACCGAGUGAAAGCUGGAAACAUAAGCGAAGUGCUUGGUAACAAGAAAGCCUUUAAAACAGCCGAGAAGAUCUUAAAACCUGUGUUCUGUUGUGUUCUGUUCUGUUCUAAGAAGUAAGAACUACUCUUUCUUUCUCUCUCUCUCUCUCUCUUUCUCGAACCGCCCUUAUUACCCUCUCAUCUCCUUGGCAUGUAAAAGCUGACAGCAUACCCCCCCUGCCCCCUCUUUAAUUACUACUCUCUUUAUCUCUCUCUUUAUCACCAUUAAUCUCUUCUUUUUAUCUUCUUUUAUUUACAGAUUUCAUAGACAACGUAUAUAGUUUGGCUAGAAGAAAAGAAGACAGAUAUUAGGGUACUUUUUUUUUUUUUUUUUUUCUCAAGAACAAAACCAACAAGAGAUAAAAAGAAAAAGAAAUAGAGAAUGGUGACUGAGAUGGUGGAUCUAGAAUCCCAAACUCAGUCACAUGAUCAAAAAGCUCCAGAUAUUUUCAAGAAAGCAAAUCGUCCUGUAACUCUUAAGGUAAGAUUUACUUCUAUUUAAUGGUUAAUCUGAUGAUGAUGAUGAUGAUCGCAUGCAUGGGUUUUUUUGUGUUUUUUUUCUUAUAUAUAUAUAUAAGACAUAAUAAAACCCUAGCUUUUUAUAAAGAGACAAAAAGAAUAUUUGAGAUAUGUGGUUUGUCACUUUCUGUCUUAUAAUACCUUUUAUGUUAGAUUUUCAGAUAAUUGUUGAUGCAAGAUUAAAAGAAUAUAUGAAGAAAAAAAUUGUUUUUUUUAUGGUGUCUCUGUCACCUCUUUUCAUCUUGUUAUUUUUAGAUUUCUAUUAUUGAUAAUAAUAUGUUAUUUGGAAUUCUUUUCACCUCUUUUUAUUAAUUUAUUUAUUUAAUAAAAGUGAUCAUCUUUGAUUGUGUAGUACUGUUCAAUUAAUAAGAAAAGCUGUACUAUGUUUGAAUCCAAAACAAGAAUCAAAUAAAUUCAGUUUCAUGAUUUACGCAGCUUCCCUUAAUCUAUCUGUAAAUCUAGUUUCAUACAUUCCAGAUUAUGGUGGAACUAUACUAGUUGAAUUAGUUCAUGGGUGCCAGAAUUCUCUAAUACCUUAAUUUAAUUAGGUCAUCAUAUUUUUGUUAUCGUGAACCUUAAUAGGCUAUAGUUAAAAAGGAUCCUUUUAUGCUAAAAUCAUUAUAUAUAUGUUUGAUUGUUAAUGCGCAGUUUGAAGAUGUUGUCUACAAAGUUGAAAUUAAGAAGGAAGGAUGCCUUGGUGGAAAAGGCUCAAAAUCUACAGAGAGAUCAAUCUUGAAGGGAAUCACUGGUUCAGUAUUACCUGGAGAGAUGUUAGCCAUGUUAGGUCCCUCUGGAAGUGGGAAAACAACUCUGCUAACAGCAUUAGGUGGUCGACUUGGUGGAAAGCUUGAAGGGAGCGUUAUGUACAAUGGAAAGCCCUUUUCAAAUGCAAUGAAGAGAAACAUGGGCUUUGUUACACAGGAUGAUGUACUUUAUCCCCAUCUUACAGUCACUGAAACAUUAUUCUUCACUGCCCUUCUACGAUUACCCAACACUCUUACCAACCAAGAGAAGGCUAUGCACGCAGAAGAAGUUAUAUCACAACUUGGUCUUACUAAAUGCAAGGACAGCAUUAUUGGUGGCCCAUUUGAAAGAGGAAUUUCGGGGGGAGAAAGAAAGAGGGUUAGUAUUGGACAAGAAAUGUUAAUCAACCCAAGUUUAUUGCUUCUUGAUGAACCAACCUCGGGUCUGGAUUCUACUACGGCUCAGAGAAUUGUGUCUACAUUGUGGGAGCUUGCCAGCGGUGGAAGAACAGUGGUGAUGACUAUACACCAGCCCUCAAGUAGACUGUUCUACAUGUUUCAUAAGGUGUUGCUGCUUUCAGAUGGUAACCCUUUGUACUUAGGCAAAGGAGACGGUGUCAUGGACUACUUUUCCAGCAUUGGUUAUUCACCCUUAGUUGCUAUGAACCCUGCAGAUUUCCUUUUGGAUCUUUCAAAUGGUAAGAUAUUUCAUCAUUUUUCGGUAUACUGUAUAUGGCAUGCUUUCGUUAUGACUUCAUCUAGAAACCAGAAAUUAAUAUUGUUAAGUUAGUAAAACAAUGUCUCAUGUCAACUGCUACUUUCAUCAAUAUAAAACGUUAUUAAUGUCUACAGGUGUCUCUUCGGGUGAAUCGGAGGAGGACAACGUGUCUGUGAAGCAAGACCUAGCCUCUGCCUACAAGAGCAAUCUUGCUGACAGAUUGAAGGGAGAAGUUAAGGAAAUUGAUAGUCAAGUUACAGAUAUCGUAGAUGAUAAGCAAUUUGCAAGAUGGAGCACAACUUGGUGGCAGCAGUUUACGGUGUUGCUUAAAAGAGGUGUUAAAGAACGCAAACAUGAAUCGUUUUCAGGCCUCAAGAUUGGUCAAGUCGUAGUUGUUGCUUUCCUAGCAGGACUUUUAUGGUGGCAAUCUAAAAUGUCGAACUUACAAGAUCAGGUAUAUCCCUCUUUGUGCUGUGUCACUUUUUGUUAUUAUAGAUGAGACUCCACAGCAGAGUUAGUUUAAUUACUACCAGUCAUUUUCAGUUUGAUUCCCUACAAUGACAAACUCAAAAUUUAACUGGUUUAAUUAACGAUGAUCUGUUUCAUUGUUGACUGUAGGUCGGGCUGCUUUUCUUUUACUCUGGAUUUUGGGGCUUCUUCCCUUUAUUCCAAGCAAUCUUCACCUUCCCUCAAGAACGUAUGAUGCUUACAAAGGAGAGAUCCUCAGGGAUGUAUAGGCUCUCAUCCUAUUUUAUGUCCAGGGUUAUAGGCGACCUUCCCAUGGAGCUUGUUCUCCCUACCAUAUUUGUAAUAAUAACCUACUUCAUGGCCGGCCUGAAGCCUACUCCUGGACACUUUUUCGAGACAUUGUUUGUUCUUCUGUUAAGCGUAAUGGUUGCACAAGGUCUAGGGCUUGCUCUUGGUGCACUGGUGAUGGAUCUCAAAGCUGCAACAACACUUGGAUCAGUAAUUAUGCUCACGUUCCUUCUUGCAGGUGGUUACUAUGUGCAACACGUUCCAGGCUUUAUAGCAUGGACUAAAUAUAUCUCGCUUAGCCAUUACACCUUCAAGCUACUGUUGAUGGCACAGUAUAGUUCCUAUGAAACUUACCCUUGUGGCCCAAAUCUCAGUUGCCCAGUAGAGAGCUUUCCUAUGAUUAAAAUGGUCGGUCUGGACCAUAAGGGACUUGGUCUAAUGGCUUUGUUCAUAAUGCUUGUUGGCUACAGGCUCAUUGCCUAUCUUGCUCUUAUGAGGGUCGGAGUACCGCAUUGAAAGAGGUAUUUUACCCAAAUUCAGAUUGUGCAAUGAGAGAGGAUUUUGCUUGGAUCAAAGUUGAAAGAUGAAGAAUCCUCCAAAUGUUGAAUCCUCCAAAUGUUGGGAUUAGAGUGACAAGGACAUGGGCUGUUGUUUACAUAUAUGCUUCUUAACUUGAACAGUCCUGAGAGUUUUUGGUAUCCAUGUUAAAGACAAGAGAAAUACUAUAGAAUGGUUAUAACAUAUAAUUUUCAUAUUGCAUUCGGCUCUGUUUAUUAAAAACUUUCAAGUAUUGAAGAAACACAUUAAUCUCAAUUUCACCUGUGGUUCUAAGAUGGCAUGUCCUUUAAUGUAAACAAAAUUAUCAGCCUUGUAGAAUGUAGAAUUUCAAGCCAGUGUAGAAUGUAGAAUUCCUUGCUUUCCUAUGGAUUCAUUUUCAUCUGUUUGUCCUGAGAGCAAUCCCAAUGGGAGGGCAGUUUGGUGCCCUCCACAUAGGUGCCACAUAAGCAAAACCACCUUCAAAAUCACUCUCUCUCUCUAUGGUAGUCAAAAACCCCUGCGAAAUUGUGUCAAUGGGAAAAUUUGGAAAUGUCAGUUUACAAAAAUUAAAUGGCUUAUAAGACGGAACUUUGAGUUCCGGUUACUAAAUUUUAUAGGUGUUAUAAGACGGAACUUCGAAUUCCUGAAAAGUUAGUCUAUAAGACGGAACUUCAAGUUCCUAAAGUGUAUAAGACGGAACUGUGUGUUCCGAAAAAGUGUUAAACCAGAACACGGUGUUCCGUCUUAUGCAAUUAACAUAUAAAGUGUAUAAGACGGAACUGUGUGUUCCAAAAAAGUGUUAAACCGGAACACGGUGUUCCGUCUUAUGCAAUUAACAUAUAAAGUGUAUAAGACGGAACUGUGUGUUCCAAAAAAGUGUUAAACCGGAACACGGUGUUCCGUCUUAUGCAAUUAAUAUGGCAUUUUGGAUGGCACUCUACUUCCCUCUCAAAUGCAAUUGGAACUUCUAUCCACCGUUGAAUGUUUGACCCACCGUUCCAUUGGUGAAGGAAUUUUAGCUGAGAAGGCGUUUCAUACUACCGCCCUUCUCAAAUGCCCUCCCAUUGGGAUUGCUCUGACAUGACAUGAGGUUACUGCCACUUAACACUUGGCUUUUCAGGUUGUCUAAAUCUGGCGACGGCCCUAAAGAUCCCCCCACAAAACUAUACACAAUUUGUCAAAUAGAGAGAAGUCUUAAAUACUAAUGGACAACAGUCUGUAAACUUUUCUACCACACGAUUUUUAUUUUUCCUGUUAAAUAUUCCACAAGAUUGGAAUUUGAAGCAGACAAAAAGUAGCUCAAUGGUCUAGUUUUUGUGUUGAUGAAAAACAUAGCUCAGUGAGUUGGGUCUUGUUGCUGGAUAUAUAUCCUGUUUGUACACAUCAUUUUGGCCCACUGACUUUGUGGCUAAUUAGGUUUUGGCCUCCUUGAGUUUAUCAUGUAGAACAUUAUUUCAAUGGAAAACUGUCAAAAUCAAACUAAGCAAAGAUUAGAUACACAAAGUCACUAACUUUCCAGUUUCUAGUCUAGCUGUAGAUCUUGAUCAAAUCAACUAACAAUGAAAGAGAAGUUAAUCUUAUUUAUGUUUGAUGUCAAAUCUUUCACCAACCCCUCAACAGGACAUUUAAAAUCCAAUGUCCCAAUCCCACCCAAUCCAUAAAAAAAACAAACAAAACUAAACAAGUAGACCAAACAGUCAAUCUAUAUAUCAGAGGGAAAAAAACUAUAAGAUUGGUUGGUUGGGCUAUUCUCCAUGGGUAACCCACCAAGAAUGGGUCACUGACCAGUGACCAUUCCAUAAAUGGCCCAACAAAUCAUUUAAAACCUAGCUACAAAACACAUAAAGUUUUUGAUUCCACUUCUAUUUGUGUGGUUGCUUGUAGAUGUUUUGAAAAUGCCAAAUGAUUUUUGUUCUCUUAACCCUGUCUUUAGCCAUAUCUAAUCCCUGUAAAAUAAUUGAAAUCAUGGUGUUGGGCCCCUAACUGCUUUAGCCAUGAAUCUGCAGCACUAUACAGUGAUACCAAUUUUUCCUCGUCUUGUCCAUUUUCGCCCGACACCCACACACUUCCUUGCAUUUUAUAUGUCGCGAGGCCAAAUGGAGAGAGCGUAACGCCUUUCCUUCUCAUUCUUUCAACAAGACAUAGCUCUUGUUCAGCACUUGAAUCUGCACAAAAGCCACAUCUUAAAUCCCAAGAACAACUAAAUUGUGAGACAUGGGAAGAUGAAAUGAAGAAUAGGAAAAAAAUAUUACCUUGGAAGGUAGAUGAAAGUGUGUGGAAUGUAAGGAAGCAAGCAGAUAAGUCUUUUACAGUUCUCCCUGUCGGAAUAUGAUAAAUUGGAUACCUAAAAGAUAUAAGAAAGCAAACAUAUGUUACAAAGAGAAAAUUAGUAUCACGACACGUGGAACUAUUGAUCUUAUGAUAUAUAGACAUGGGACCAAAGCUUGAAUUGAAGCAUCUAAAGUCAAUAAUUUGAUCGUGGGGACUCCAAAUUUUCAAGAUGCCCAUCCUCAAUUGCUCACUGACACCAUUUUAACACACUUCUUAGUUGAUCCCACCGUUGCUACUUAUAUCAUUUUGGCCAAAUUCAAUAUUUGACUUGAGAAAGUUGUCUUUUUGUUUAGCAUUUUUAAUGCAAAAGCUAAACAGAUGUAUGAAACGUAAUCAAAUAAGAAGGAUUUAUUUUUGACUUCCUUGGUUCAGAAAAAUUAAGAAUUAAACAGAAAAACCUCACUCCAUAUGUCUUUGUCUUCAUAUUGGAAAUUAGUGUUUAUGAAAUAUGAGGAUGGAAAUAAAAAAAAAAAAAAAAAAAAAAAAGAAGAUAAUGUAAAGUGGUGAAAGAAUAAUCCUUCCCAGAUGCCACUUCAAUUUCCACAUGUAACAUAGUCUAGAAUGUUAUUGUGGCUGAAUUCAAAUUUCAAAGUCAUGAUAGUGACUCUGAACAUUUUGGGUCACUCAAGUUCUUAGCAUUUGGUAAAAUUUUACACAUGUCUAAAUCAAGAGUAAGAACAUGUAAUGAUGUAUAAAUAUUAGUUAAAUUGAUAAUCCAGUUAUUAUAGAAAUUUUCUUUUCAACAUAACUCAAGACGCAACGCGUCAACUGGAUUAGCAGUUUUACCAAAUCAUAUGCACAUAAGCACAUUUUACCUAAUCAUAUUAACUAUUGCAGUAGUCUUAUAAAACAGGGCAUUGCUUCAUCUUAGUGAUUUUGUGUGUGCGCGUGGGCGCGCAUGCAUGCAUGUGUGUAAUGUGUAUGACUGUACAAGGAAAACACAGAAAGAGAUAACAGACCAGGCAACAGCCAUCCAGCUAGCUGGGGACAGAUCAAUGCUCUUUAAAGUCAUUAACCCUGGAAAUCUUCUAGCCAAACAAUUGACCUGGAAUAUAAGAAGGCACAUUAAGAAUUACUUGAAAUGAAAUCACAAGUAAUUCUAUAAAAUAUCAAUAUUAAGAUAAACAGUACUGGACUUAUUACCUUAUCCAUAAGAGGGACUCUUCCAUAAGGAGUUGAUCUUUCAAAAUACUGAAAAUAAAGAUAACCCAGUCUAUCAUUCUGAUUCCAAACUCUUUCCUGUUCAACACUGGAAUCAUGGGAUGAUCCACCUUCCCAUUUCCAUGACUUCUCACUCUCAGUCUCAUCGCUGCAAGUAUCGCUAAAUGAAUCCCUUGUCUCACUAUCACCGGUCACACUAUCUUCCCUGAAAAGUGAUCAAUUUUCCUUCAAAAAAUGCCACUAAACUUAACUCUUUUUUGCAACCAACUGUAAGAACAGGAAUCAACAUUAUCUACCUAUUUAUAAUGAGAGUAUGACAGUAAUGAUACAAUAAAGGCUAUUAUAUUUACAGUAUCACCUUCCAUCAAAACUAAUUAAAUUAAUAUGUGGAGGGCCAUAUCAUAAAGCCAUUUACAAAGAAAGAAUGUAUUAAUCACCUAAUCAAAACAGAUAUCAGUCUAUACAUAUAGUGUCAUUUAAUAAAAACUAAUUUAGGGAUAAUCUUGAGGACAAUAUUUGGCAUGAAAAUAAUAUUUUUUCUAAAAGGACUAAAGACUUGGAAAUCAAAUAUAAACAAUAUAGAAGGACAGAUGACUGAUCAACCAUAUGUUUUGAAUCCAGAAUAAGCAACAUGAAACAAUCUUAUCUUAAUUUUUAAUAUUGAAAAAUCAAUCUAUCAAAACCCAAAUCAAAGAUAAAGAAAACUAUAAUCACAUACCGAAAAUUGCCGACGAAUGUAUUGCUUGUAAAGAUCUGAAUUGCAGAAAGAUAAGGAACAUAGUACUGAACAACAGUUUCUUGUUUGUUUAAUGUAAUCGGAACUCCAACUCCGUAAGCGCUCCAUUCAUCAUAACAACUCCAAAGAUCUCCCAAUGUGAAAUACUCAAUUGUUUCUCUUUCCCAUGGAUUCCAUAAUUGACUAAAAUUAUUUCUCAAAGCACUCUGUAUCAAAAAUAUGAAAUUAAGCGUUUCACAAGUCACAACAACAUUAAAAAAGUUCUACCUAUAAUAUGAUCAUGAGAGAUAAACAAACAAACCUUUGGAAGAAACCUUGAUGGAACAAUGGGUGUAGUACAGUUUAAAAAACACUCAAGGUUUGAUUGCAUUGAUCCUUUCUCAGUAACCAUGAUUGAAGCAAAAACUGUUUGUAAGAAAAGAGAUUGAAAGAAGAAGAAUUCCUCUGUUUAUCUCUGCUCUGCUCUUACUUACCUUUGAAUUAUAAAAAGAAAUUUAAAAUCUCUUUAGAUUAGAUUAGCUGAAAGAUAUUAUGAAAUGUAAUUUCUAAAUAUAGAUAUUUAGACAACUCAUUUUGAAACAAGAAAGAAUCUUCAAUUAAACCCCUUUAUUGUUUCCCUGUAAACAAAAACUAAAACAAGGUGGUGGUGUUUUUAGGUGUCAAACACAUCAAAACAUCUCAAAAACCCAAAACUCAAUUUGUAUCCAAAGAUUUUAUCUAGAAAUUUCGAGAAAUCUUUUACUAAGAAACAGAAUCUUGAGUUUUAUUGCAAAAUUUUCAGAAAGAGAUAAAAAUGAUUUUAUUUCACUUUUUUAAAAGUGGGAUUUGGAAAAUAAGAAAGAAUCAAAACAAAACAAAUAGCAUAAAUACUUUGAGAGAAUCUAUCUUAAUCUUAUCAUAAAAGGAAAGGUUUUGAUAGAAAUUAGUCUUAGUUUAUUAUAUAAUAAGAAUCUGUUGGCUUUGAAAACAAUGAUGACCAUAUAAGAGAACACAAGAUAAAGAUCAAAUCAAAAAUGACUAUUUCCAAACACUUGUGUUUUCUUUGUUUCUUUAAUAUUGAAAAAUCUGAUUCAGUCCAAAAGCUUUCUCAGAACGUUUGAAGAAGAGAAAAUCGAAUUGCCGCGUUCUUUACGUAUUAAUCUAAACCACUUAAUAAAAUUUUCUCUGUUUUUGAAAUAUAUAAAACAACUUGAUAAAAGUAACCGUGCUCUUGCAGUUACAUAGAACAAAGUAAAAAUGUUAUAUUUACCAUCAGUUUUAUUGUAAAACUAAGAAAUUUUAUAUAGUUUAAAAUCAGAACCUAUUUCAUAUUUUAUUUUAUUUUUUAUGACUUGGGGCAUUUUAUUUUUAAAUGAAUUGUGGUCCUACUCUUACCCUACCACAUAUAUUAUAUAUGAGAAAAAAAUUAGAUUAUCAUUAACUAAAAUAAUAAUACCUUAAUGUUAAUACAACCAUAUUGACAUAUUUAGAAUAAAAUGAGGAAAAUCUUUGUGAGACAUUGAAAUAUGUCGAGGAUCUAGCCCACAGGAUAUGGCAUAUUCCUAAAUUAUUAAGGGAUUUUUUUUUUUUUUUUUUUUAUAAUAUAUAUUAGCCCCUUAAUUAAGUAUCCAACUGCUAUGUGUCAAGAUUUCUAUGAAUUACAUAUAUUUUUAAGUGUCAUAUAUCAUGAAAUAUAUGCAUUUAUCGCAACAAAACUUUUUAGCACAAUAGCACUCCCCAGUUUUCCAGUAGGUUAGUGUGCCUCCCACUCCUGUCCUGCUGGAGGUUGUUGAUCCAAUACCUGCAAGGUUAUGGCAUCGUGGAACCUGGGCUCUCUUGGACCAAUCUAGUUCACUAGUUGGUCAAAUCGUUUGUCAUGGUCCUUGCUAAAUCACAACGGCGUAGUGUUGGAAGAAUGACCCAACACUUACUAGGGUUAUUAUCGCAGAGCAAUGCAGCUAGCACCUUGUGCUUGACGCAAAAUCUAUUUGGUCAUUGUCAUCUAUGCAGUUGUUUUUGAAGUAAUAUAAUGUAUAUAGUUUUAUUCAUUUGUCAUUAGUCUUUUGAGUUGUUAGUUAGUAAACAACGUCGUUCAGCCGUCCAUAUGCAUAACCAACCGUACAAGGAGAAAUGAAAACAAUGGGGUCCUCUGUAUGACUUUUUUUCGCAACCAUGGAUUGUGUAUCAAACUGAUUUUGACUCAUUUUAGUGACAAAUAUGAUAUUGGCAAAAGUAUUAAUGUGCCUCCAGAAGACUAUAUAUUUAAAUGAUUUCUGAAAUAUUGGACAUAUCCUGUCGACAUAACGAGUCACAGGACUCACAGAGUCACAGGUAACUUAAAAUGAUGUGAUCACUUGGUAUUGAUUUUAGUGAGAAGAUUAUCCCCUCUAAACAAAAACUUUGUCAAAAUUUUCUUGACUCACCGGCAUUAAUCCAUAGGUUAGGGUAGCACUUUGUGAUUAAGAUGACCCAAGGUGUGAUUAAUAUCUAAUGUGAAGGGAUUUGAGUUCCCAAUUUGACUUUGGAGUUCAUGCUUGCUUGCUUUCGUUAUCUUAGCAAAUAGCAAUUGAGUUUGUUGAGGUAGUGGGCUAGUGGCCUUAAUUGCUUAGAUCCUUGUGUUAGGCCCAGUUUUCUUUAUGAGUUAUAACGUUAUCACUUCCAUGUUAGUGUGAGGUCAACUGUGUCAAUUUCAAACAUGACAUGUGCAUCAGUGUAUUGCACUGUCAUAAAGACAAAAUCUUUAAAAUUAUUAAAAAAGAAAAACUAUGUAACCAGAAAAGUUUACUAUAGGCAUAUGGCAUCAUAGUACAAAAUAUCGACUAAUGGUAUCAAUCUCCAAAAAAUAGAUAUACCGAGAUAUAUUAGAAUCUAUAGGUGGAUAUUUUAUAUUGAAUGUAUCGACUAAUAUAUCAAUUUGUUAUACAAAAUAUAUAUAAAAUCAAAUUUGGAAGUAUAUUAUCGUAGUAUUUACCUAAAAAACAUCAUAUCUACUAAAAAUAAAAUAAACAAAUUAUUUCCCAGAAAAAAAAUUUGCAAAAAAAUAAUAUUUCCAAAACAUAUCAAAAAAUAUCAAUAAAUAUCGGGAAAUAUCGGUCGAUAUUUUACAAAAACAUUAAGGGAUAAAUAUCGGAAAUAUAUCGUAUAUCGUUUUCUUUGAAAAACCGAUAUAUAUCGCGAUAUAGCGAUAUUUUGUACUAUGUAUGGCAUGCCCAACCAUAGUUUAAAAUUCUGAAUCCGGGCCAAAGUUUGGAUUCAGAAAAAACGGUAUAUUCUAACAUUCCGACCCUCUAAACAAAUAUGUCAUCUGAAAUGUCGAGAAUAUUCUUAGAUAUUCCCGGAAUUUCUCGGAAUUUACAAUUCCGUAAAUUCCAAUUCUCUAAAAACCAGUAUAUUCGAUCGAAAUUUCAUGAAAUAUAUCGAUAUUUUGAACUAUGUGCCCAACUACCCUGAGUUUUCUUACAGGCACAUAUCUAGAGCCCUGUUCCAACCCAAAAAAUGUAAAAAGUCUUCUUCGUACGGACAGAACCAGUUCUUCAUCUUGAGACAUACAGUAUACAUCAUAAACCACCCUUUAUUCUAUCUUUCAACUUGAGGCCUACCACAGAUCCUUAAUCAAGCCUUCCCAAUCACAAAUUGUGAUCUUUCUUAAGAUUUUGAUGUUUGUCGUUCACUUCAAGCCAGGCCCAACCCAUACAUUUUAUCUGUCGAACAACUUUCACCAGAUCAAAGGAUUCCUGCUUGAAUAUCAGUUGGUUUCUACAUACCCAAAUCACCCAUAAGACAAUAUAUGGUAAGACUAGCCAAAUUUCCUCCCCAAUGCCUCUUAAGUGUAAUCAGGCCAGUUGGAUAUAACAUCUCUGACUACCCCAUUUGGCAGAAUUGCUGCUACUCUUAGUAGAUGACCAAUGAGACUUUACCAGACCUGAAUUGAGACCGGGCAUAAGAAGAAUAAAUGCGAGGCAUUUUUUUAGCUACUAUUGCAUAAUAUGGUACGUACUGGGGUUCUUUUCUUUUGUUACCAAUGAUUGAGAACUAGAUAGAACAAAAUAACAUUAAGAAGAAAAAGAUAAUCGGUUUACUGACGAACCGUUGCCUCUUGUUACAACUCAAGUUGAACAAUCAAAUGAAAUAAGUCAAUAAUAAGUCAUCUCCUUUAUUCAUGAUUCCCUCACCUUAUAUAGGUGAUUCACUACAACUGUACCUAGAAAACAGGAAAAUAUCUUCAACUACUAACACAACGUUACUUUGCUAAUAAGACAACUUCUCCCCUACUUCUUAGCUAACAACUUAGACUAAUUCUUCAUGACAUACUGCACUACUUAAGAAAAUAAAUAUGACACCCAUAACAUUCCCUUCCCCUUAAAAAACAGCCUUGUCCCCAAGGCUACAAUCUGGAAACUGUUUUUUCAUCUCAGACAGAUUCUCCCAUGUUGCCUCUGUUGGAGAUAAACCUUGCCAGUGAAUUAGAACCUCCUCUUUCCUUCGACGAAUGCGACGAUCAAGAAUUGCUUGAGGCCUUGGAUAUAAAGAUUCAUUUUCAUCAGUUGUUAUGGGCAACUCAGUUUGAACUUCAACCCUUUUCCCAACUUUUUUUUUUCAGCAAGGAAACAUGAAACACCGGAUGAAUGCGAGAGCUUUUAGGCAAAUCCAACUUGUAUGCGACAACCCCAAUUCUCUUAAGAACUUGAAAGGGCUCAUAAAUUUUGGGAGAUAACUUCAAAUUUUUCCUUAGAGAAAGCGAUGUCUGACGGUACGGCUGAAGCCUUAAAUACACCCAAUCUCCUUCUUCAAAUUCUCUCUCUCGAUGGUGACGAUCAUAGACCUUUUUCAUACGUGACUGAGCUUCCUUAAUGUUGCUCUAGAGAUGUACAAGAACCUGAUCACGAUCCAUGAGCUGCUUCUCUACUGCCUGAACUUUAGCCAUACCAGGAACAUAGGACAACAACGUUGGUGGCGCACGUCCAUACACAAUUUCAAAGGGAGUAGACUUAAUGGUUGAAUGCCAGCUAGUGUUGUAACAAUACUCAGCCCAAGAUAACCAUUUACUCCAUUCCUUUGGCUAGGAACUAGUGAAACACCUUAAAUACAUCUCCACAGUCCGGUUUACUACUUCACUCUGACCGUCUGUUUGAGGAUGGUAUGCUGAACUAUAGUUGAAAGCCGUGCCAUUUAACUUAAAUAAUUCUGACCAAAAUAAGCUUGUGAAAGUCGGAUCUCGAUCGCAUACAAUAGACUUUGGCAUUCCAUGAAGCUUGAAAACGUUAUCAAAAAAUGCCCGAGCAACUCCAACAACAGUGUAAGGGUGUGACAUUGUGAUGAAGUGAGCGUAUUUAGAGAGUCUAUCAACAAUGACAAAUAUUGUAGUUUUGCCAUUAGAGGGAGGUAGACCAUCAAGAAAGUCCAUUGAUAUAUCUUCCCACACCUGAUUAGGAACAGGAAGAGGCUGUAACAAACCCGCAGGAGCUAGUUGUUCGGCCUUGUGACGUUGACAUGUAUCACAAGCUGAAAUAUACUCCUUAAGACCCUUUUGCAUUACAGGCCAGUAAAACGCUGCUCUGAUUCGCUGGAGUGUCUUUUGGUACCCUUCAUGGGUACUGUUAUGAAAUUGCCCCAUGAUGUCCUUAAGCAAUGAAGAACCUUCAGCAAGAUAAAUUUUCUCCUUAAAGAAAAUAAUUCCAUCUUUGAAUUGCCAUGGGCCUACUGUUUCACCUUGCAUGAUGCGUUGUACAAUUCCUUGUAACACUAAAUUGGACUUCAAUUCAUCUUUAAUAGCUUCUACCCAAUCUGGAAUGGGUUGAGUGAUAGCUGCAAGUGCACCUUGUGGAACAUCUUCUCGACGAGAUAGAGCAUCAGCAACAAUGUUUUCCUUCCCCCGUUUGUACUCAAUGACAAAAUCGAAACCCAUCAACUUAUAGAGCCACCUUUGUUGCGCUGUAGUAGUAAUUUGUUGGACCCAUAAAUGCUUCAAGCUUUGGUGAUCAGUUCUGACUAUAAAUUGCCGACCCAACAAAUAUGGACGCCAUUUUUGCACAGCCAAUACUAACGCCAAAAUCUCCUUUUCAUAAGUGGACAACAACAAAUUUUUUCCUUGCAAGGCAUGACUAAAGAAAGCAAUAGGACGCUCUUGCAUUAAGACUGCUCCCACACCCGAACCACUAGCAUCACAUUCGAGAAAAAACUUAUUUGAGAAGUCUGGUAGAGCUAACACAGGAGCUUGGGUCAUGACUUCCUUUAAAGUUUGAAAGGCAACUUCAACCGUUGGUGUCCAUUCAAAUGAAUCUUUUUUCAGCAUCCGGGUGAGCGGUCCAGCAAUUUUACCGAAGUUUUGGAUAAAUUUUCGGUAAUAUCCAGUCAGCCCAAGGAAACCUCUCAAGGCCUUUGGAGUUGUUGGCUUAGGCCAGCCUAUCAUAGCCGCAAUCUUGUCUAGAUCUACUGCAACACCUGUAUCAGAUUUCACAUGGCCAAGGUAUUGUACCUUAUUUUGACCAAACUGGCACUUCUAUCUUUUCACAAACAAACUGUGAGACCUUAACACAGACAAUAUAAUUUGUAAAUGUGUAACAUGCUCACUCCAAGAUUUACUAUAUAUAAGGAUGUCAUCAAAGAACACUAAGACAAACUUUCGUAAAUAAUCUUGAAAUAUCUCAUUCAUUAGAAAGGUGGAUGGUGCAUUGGAAAGGCCGAACGGCAUUACCAAGAAUUCAUAAUGGCCAUGAUGUGUACGGAAAGCUGUCUUUGAUGUGUCUUCUGGUACAACUCUGAUCUGGUGAUACCCGCUUCGAAGAUCCAACUUUGAGAAUAUUUUAGCUCCAUUCAACUCAUCCAACAACUCAUCAAUUAUUGGAAUCGGAAACCGGUCUUUGAUUGUAAUCUUGUUUAGUGCACGAUAGUCGACACACAUCCGCCAAGACCCAUCAUGUUUCUUAACUAAGAUAACUGGUGAUGAAUAAAGACUGUUACUGGGUUUGAUCACACCAGUAGAGAGCAUUCCUGCCACCAAUUUUUCAAUCUCAGUCUUUUGAUAAUGCGGGUAGCGAUACGGCUUGACACACACUGGUUCACUGCCUGUCUUUAAUGGAAUUUUGUGAUCAUGGACCCGCGGUGGAGGUAAACCACUUGGCUCCUGGAAAACAUCUUUAAACUCUUCUAACAACAGCUGCAAUUGAGGAGGCUGAUAUUCAUCACUAACUUCAAGAAGUGGAGUGCCAACUGAAUAUAAUUGAAACAACGCCCCCCUUUUUUAUUUUCUUGCUUCACGACUAAACUUAAGUUUUCCAACGAGCUUGUCAUCUGGUUUGGAUUCUCCUUGAAGGAAAACCUCUUUAUCUCCCACCUUAAAUGUCAUCUACAACUUAGUAAAAUCCCAUAAAAUAUGGCCAAGUGUACGCAUCCAUUGUGUACCCAAAACAAUAUUAUAUCCUUCAAGUGGUAGUAAAUAAAAAUCCAGAUAAACAAUCAUACCACGCAAAUUUAAUUUCACAUUUGUGCACUUACCUUGACUAGAUAAUCUGUCACCUGAAGCCACCACAACAUCGAAUUGUUCUGCAUUAUCAGGUAGUAACCUGAGCCUUAUAGCAAAAGUUACACUCAAAAAGUUAUGAGUGCUCCCUGAGUCCACCAAGACAAUGGUUGAAAGAAUUCCAAUGCUUCCCCUGAUCCGCAUUGUUUCUGGUGCUUGUGUACCAGCAAUGGCGUGCAAAGAAAUUUGAGGUGUCUCAUCAUCUACCGCCAUAAUAAGAUCUCCAUCUGCUUCACAAGCUUCAAUCAAGAAUAACUUGUUACAUCGAUGACCCGGAACAAACUUCUCAUUACAGUUAUAACAUAACCCCCUUUGACAUCAUUCUUGUAAUUCAGCUGUGGACAUUCGCCGAACAGGAAGAGUUGAACUGCUGGCUGAUGCUUCUUUGUUGACAAGAACAUUCUUCUUUAAAUCUGAUGAGGGAACAAAUUUUUUCUGUGAAUUAUUGCGAGCUUCAUACAAGCGAGCCAGUCCAAUAGCCGCUAAUAAGGUCACUACACCAAAACAGCAAAUUUGCAACUAGGCUUUUUACAAUUUGCAAUGGUUAUUUAGCAUUGCAAAUUUGCAACACCUUAUUGCCGUUGCAAAUUUAUUUUUUCGUUGCAAAAUAAUAAAAUAAAAAUAUAAGAUUUUUGUAUGUGUUGCUAUUAUGCUUGAAACCCCCCCUCGACGUUGCAAAAUAUAUAGAUAACCGAAACGAAAAAGUAACGCGGCACGGUUUUAGCACGUGCAGCGUUGCAAAUUGGAAACAGUUAAGAAGAGAUCGAGUUAAACUCUUUCUCUUAAAACUCAUAAUAUAUAUGCUGCCUCUGUCUUUCUUCACUUUCCCAACUCUAGUUUCUUCUUCUCACUGAUUCAACAAAUUUGAUUCUCCCACUAAUUCAAUAAUUUCAAUUCUUCUCACCCUAACAACAAUUCAAUCACUGCCUCUCCUUUUUUUUUUUCCAUCACUUCAAUUCCUCGAUCGAUCUGCAAUUAAGAACUCAUCCGCGCGCUGCUGUGUGGUUUCAAUCGUCGCUCCAAUCACGGUAAAUCUCUUCCAUCACUCUCUCUCUCUCUUUGGUUCCAAACAAAGCCAUAUCUGUAAUUAGAUUAUUAAUUGUUAGUUUAGAUCGACUUGAAUUUCAAAUUAAACAAGCAGAAUUUCUAUUCAAUUUCGUAUCUUGAAUUGUUGUUUGUGUGAGAUUGAUGGGGUAAUGAAAAAUUGGAGGAAAACUAUGGAAAAAGGGUUACUGCUUCUCAUCCAAAUGUUAGAGUAACACAGCUGAGUAACCACAGAAGGCGAAUGUCCGACCUUGUCUAAUUGAGUAAUUGGCAUAAGGAAAUCCAAGUAAAGAGGUGUCUGCUAUUUGUACAAUAAACUUGUGUUCGUUUGCUGAUUAUAGAAUGUUAGUUGACUUCUAGUGUGUAAACUGUAAAGGGUGGUUUUUCAAGAUUUCUUACUGAUUGUUUUCUGAUUCUAUAGUGGUCAUUUGGUUGCUGUGUUACAAAUUUGGAUUGACAAAAAAAAAAAAAUUACAGUGUCAAGUAUUGUUUCUUGUGCAGUCUAGGCUUGUAGCCAUACUAACAACAUGUAUUCACUGCGAACUACAUUGAAACUUUUUUGCAUUCUAUUGCUUGGAAAACAUAUCUGUAUCUGCAUGUUUUGCGAGAGGUUCUGUUGUUUGAAUUGAUUGAUUACUGUAAUUUUUUCUUUCUCACGGUAUUGUGUUGCUUCAGACCUUUUAAAUAUGGGAUUAUUAUAAAAUCUCCAACAAUAAUAUCAUCUUUUGUUAUUCAGUUUCAGACAAUACAACUCCCACCAAUAAAGAGCAUUAAAAGAUCUCUAACCAAAACUUGGAAGAUCAACCCAAUGUAAUUCGUUGGAUAAUGUGGUUCAAUGCUUUUGUCUUCCAAGUUGAAAUCAUCAAUAUCAGUUCCAUGAAAAAGCAGUAACCCUUUUCCUUUGUAAGCUGUGUAGGAACUUUCUAUGGAAAAGGCCUGAUUGUUAUUUUUUAUUGUAAUGACUAGGAUCGCUGUAAUAAUGAAGCAUUUCUGCAUAUUUCUCUUCUUUCUAUGUUGUUGUAUUUAGUCCGUGUAACAGCUCUCUCUAGAGCAGCCUGCAGCCUGCAAACUUUUAUAUUUUUGCAAGCAGGGUCUUAUUGGUUAUAAGUCUCUUAACUCAAAAUUAUGAAAAUUAUGCAAUAUGAAUCUUAUUUCCAAAGUUCUAAAUGAAUGAUGGAUUUCCAAAGUCCAAACAAAGUAUUGAACCUAUAUCACUAAUUCAUAACCAAAGGACAUGAGACUAAGCCAAAUAGUGCCAUUUACAUUUCUGCAUUAUUUAUAACUGAUCUCUCCUUUUCUCUAUAUAUCCUUUUUCUUUUCUUUUUUUGCUCGAGGAAAUUUCCAUACCAAUGGUUGAAUGUGGAUGGCUAUUUAUACAUGGAUAGCCAAAGUUGUAAUGCCUGAGUAGCUUUGAUUGUUUUCUUUUACUGCAUAUACAAAGCACAUACAAUGGUGCUUAAUUUGGCGAGUCUGCAGGUCAAUUUUCUUAUUUUUUGUUAUUUUCCUGAUACAAUAUAGGCCCAUCACUAAUCAAUAUAAUUUCUUGUCGAUGUUGUGUUCAAGUCUGUUGGUUUUGCUCUUUUAACUAUUUAAGUGCUGAAUUUGUAUACCAUACUUGAUUGCUAAGGUCAUUACAUCAAUUCUUAUCUGGUAUGCAUAUAUGGUUCAAUUUUGAUUAUUUUGAUUUGCAAGGGAAAACCAAUUUCGUCCUUUGGAUUGUUCUCAUUCCUUUGAGACGAGUGCAUCUGAAGCUGAUAUUUUCUUUCCAAGGUAUUUUUAUGGACACUUGUGAACUUAUGAAUGUUUAAUAUUGUGCAAAGAGAAGGAUACUUCAUAGUGUGUGACCAAUAUACGAGAAGACUUGCUAGGAUUUUGUUAGCUUGAUUAAAGGUACCUUUUUAAUACCAUUACUCUCUGUCACAACUUAAAUGCAAUUUUAUGUAGUACAUAGUAAAUAAACCCUAAACAUGUACUCGGAAUCUGUUAGGUACGCCAUGGAGUACAUGCCAAAAACACAAGAUGAAAAUCAUUAUUCUUCUCUAGAAGUUGAAGAAGAUGGUGAGUGCAAUAUCGAACGGUGUAUUGAAGGUAAAACUAUAUUGCUAACAGCAACACAGUUUGUACAAAUACAUAGAUGGGUACUUUUUCGAUUAGAAGUUGAAGGACUUGCGGAGUACUACAGGUAGGACUCCAUUAUUUUCCAUUAAUUGUAUGCUGGUUAAGCAUACUUGCAUGUUUAGGUAAUUAGGUGUCUUAUCUCCUGCACAACUGUACCCUAUGAGUAGAGGAUAAUGUAAAUUUCAAUUUCCAAAACUUACAUUGUUUUCACGUAUGCUCUAUGCUACAUGACUGACAUUAGUUAAUUGUCCUAUGGCAAGAAUGUGCAUGGCUGUUCAAGCCUUCUUACCAUCUCAAUCGCAGGGAUUUUUAAAUCUUUUGGCUGGGUUUGUUCUAAUUCUCUUGUAUUUGCUGCAACUCAACCAUCUUAGGAUUAUUAACACACGCUGAUUUGCUUCACAUGUGGCAGUUAUGAAGAUGGAUCCAUUGCUUGGUGGGAUAUAAGAGCUUGGGAGUUCCGUUAGCUACUGCAAAGUUUCAUUCUGAACCAGGUUCUCAGUUCAUUAUCAUGAGCUUGUAUUUCAUAUCGUUUGUUAUUUAUCAAAUGAAAAUUGUGUUUGUUUAAGCGUUUCUAUAUUCUGUAAUAAAACUACUAAAUUAAAAAUAAUAACAACUUGCUUUAAGUCUAUUCUUAUCAUCCACUCCUUUUUUUUUUUUUUUUUUUUUCUAAUUUUUGCCUUUUCUUGUUAUUAUCAAUUUCUGUAUACAGUUUUAAGUCUCACAGUUGAUGGGCCAUGCACCGGGGGUAUCUCUGGAGCUGCAGAUCAAAAACUAGUGUUCUUUACUCUUGAUCAUCAGACAGUAAGCUCAAAUAUGAUUUUAGGAAUUUUCUUUUCAAAAGAUUUGAAAAAGAGGCUUCUCCCGGGGUCUCAACUUGCAUACUACCCCUGUUCUUGCAUUUGCUUUGUUAUAUUCUAUAUUUAAUGUAAAUAUAAUUUUCUUUUUAAUCUUGUCUCAUCAAUAACUUGGCUUGACACCAUAUGUAUCUUACGUGACAUAGGGUUCUUGUCUUAUCAAGAAAGAGAUCAGUUUGGAGCGACCUGGUAUAGCAGGCACCUCAAUUCGAAUGGAUGGGAAAAUUGCUGCAACUGCGGGAUGGGAUCACAGGUUAUUUAUUUCACCUAUAUGAUAUUCAAGGAAGCUAUAUCUGUCGCUAUUACCGCUUACAGCCUUUAUGAUGGCAGCAUUCAUGUGCCCUGUUGUCAGUUCUCGCUGUAAAUCCCCCAAAAGGGUAACGCAUCACAAACAAGAUACACAUGCUCUUCAUUUUCGCAAAGAAAGAAAGUUCCAACCUUGGUUCACAAUAACUUAAGCAGUUGGUCGGUAGAUCUUCACAACCGUACAAGAUAUGGUAGUAGUUGUUCUGAUGUAUGGGUUUGUAGAAAAGGCAAUGGAGGCCAUCAGGUGUAUGUGGAAACCAUUAAUGAAGAAUAGCAAAAAUAUAUAUUUUUUUUUUUUUUUAUAAUUUGCAACGCCUUAUAAGCAUUACAAAUACAUGUUGCAAAGUACCAGGUUACCGUUAUUACAAACAUUUGCAACGCCUACUGGCGUUGCAUUUUCAAAUAUUUCUCAAUUUAAAAACAAUUAUGCAACAACAAUAACCGUUGCAAAAUAAAAUAAAUGCAACCCACUAUGGGCGUUGCAAAUAUAGAAAAAGCAAUGCCAAUAAGACGUUGCAAAUACAAACAUAGCAAUGCCAAAAAACCGUUGCAAAUAUUUGCAACGGUAUUUGUAACGCUGUAGUUGCAACAGCAUAAAGGCGUUGCAAAUAAAAUUUGCAAUGCCAUAUUACCAUUGCAAACCGCUUGUUAUGGUGUAGUGGGUUUCAGGGUGCCUACCUAGUACAUCUGCCUUGAUUGAGUAUUUUAGUCCACUGAUAAAACAAAUCACUUGGCGAUCAUGAGGGAGAUAACCCACCUUCGAUAAUAAUUUCUCGAAUUGUGUCUGAUAUUCACGUACAGACCCAACCUGCUGCAACUUAAUCAAAUCACCAAAGAAGUCUUGGAAUUGAGUCGGACCAAAUCACGCAUGUAAACCAUUGCGAAAUUCUUGCCAAUUCACUUCACCUCCAUCCUGUUUUAACACCUGAUACCACAACUGAGCAUCACCCUCUAAAUGGAAAGACGCAAGUGCAACACAUUCGUCUUCGGGUGUACGGUGAAACUGAAAGAAUUGUUCCACUCUACAAACCCAACUCGUAGUGUCUUCUUCCCCAUUGAAGCGGGGAAAAUCAAGUUGACAAGCUUUGGAGCACACGAUUGUUGCAUCCCAUUUUGACGAAACCGAAGGUAUUUCCAGAUCGAGCCAUCGAGUUCUCUGCUUCAUGCUCAAAGUUUGCUGGUGUUGGAGAAGGACGUGAAUUAAUCUUAUCAAAUAAUUCAUCAAGCUUCGCCAGAAUUUUCUUCUGAUUGACGGAGAGAUCUUUCACUUCUGCUUCUAACUUUUCCACUCUUUGAUCCAUUUCCUUGCUUUGAUACCACUGUGGUACGUACUGGGGUUCUUUUCUUUUGUUACCAAUGAUUGAGAACUAGAUAGAACAAAAUAACAUUAAGAAGAAAAAGAUAAUCGGUUUACUGAGGAACCGUUGCCUCUUGUUACAACUCAAGUUGAACAAUCAAAUGAAAUAAGUCAAUAAUAAGUCAUCUCCUUUAUUCAUGAUUCCCUCACCUUAUAUAGGUGAUUUACUACAACUGAACUACCUAGAAAACAGGAAAAUAUCUUCAACUACUAACACAACGUUACUUUGCUAAUAAGACAACUUCUUCCCUACUUCUUAGCUAACAACUUAGACUAAUUCUUCAUGACAUACUGCACUACUUAAGAAAAUAAAUAUGACACCUAUAAGAUAAUACACAUAAGUUAUCAUCCACAAUGCCUCGGCCAAAGGGCUUGUCCUUGGUGAGGAUCCUAUCAUGAAAAGACGCCAUACGAAUAAUUGAACCUUUAAGGGAAAGAUUCAAGAGGUGCCAUAUAUUCAUUAUGAUGUUUCGAGAGAACUUUGUAGAAAGACUUGACGAAGAACUUUUUAUCCUUGUUCCCUUGCCAUUCCCAAGCACCCUCUUCUAGAGAUAGUGUUUUCGAGGUGAAUAAUGCCAUAAGAUCCUCCAUUUCAAGGGCCUCACCCUCUCUCAAAUACCGUCUUCGGACGUGAGGCUUUCAUUCACCAUUUAAGCAAUGAUUAUAAAUGAUACAAUUACUAGGGAAAUAUACUAUUGAAUGCGAAAAUAAACAAUAAUAGUAAAUUAAAUAAAAUGAACAAAACACAAGAUCUUGAAGAAAAUUCUCUUCUUUAUUGAAUAUUAUGAAGAUUAGAAGAAUCUCUGCCUCACAAUAUACUCUCUAGACAAGCUAAGCCCUACCUGCCUUUCUUAUUUCUAAACACACUAAACAUUAGUGGUUUCUCUAAACAAGUUAAAUAAGCUAUGUUUGGUACGUCUAUGUUUUAGUUUAUGCCAAAUCAUCAAUCUAAAUAAACAAAUUAGUAGUUGUUUCUCUAAACAAGUUAAACACUAGCUUGUUUGUAUCUCUUGAAACAAGUAAGGACUACAUGUUUCGUUUUAUACAUUUUGGUUCAUGCCAAAACAUAUAUUAAUAGGCCAAGAAUUUCCUUUGUAACGCCCCGGGAUUUCGUCCUCGCUCAUCCCGGUGCGUCGAGCACCAUACCGCUCGCUAAUGUCAAUAUUGUCCCCCUUUGGUCACUGCAGAUAUCCAGCAGUAGAAGGUUUUGGAUCAGGGCCCACUCAUGUGGUUUACCCAAAAAGGCAAGACAUUAGUUAAAGUAUGGUUAAGCUCUAUAUACUACCACUACAACCACUUCCUUGGUAAUGUGGGACUAACCCCAACUCAUGGGUGUUACAUCAUUUUUCCUGAAACUAUCUCUUAUGGAAUAAAGAAUCCUAUUGAAAGUUUUCUUUUCCUUGUCCUACAAGGAAAAAAACCUGUUAAGUUUCCAAAUAAGACUUGUAUCAUUGUUCCCCCCUUUAGAAACUUAAACUCCUGUUUAAGCUAGAAACGGAGAUUAGAGAACUUAAGAGUUCCCUGGACUUUGUUGAACCAUCCAACUUUGCCUGGAACUUGACCAAUACGCCCAAUACGAAACACUGUUUGUUUCGUACUUAGUGUCUUAGUCACCUUGCGCUCCAAAAUGCAAUCUUCCUUGAAUGACUCCUCUAGAUCAACCCAAUGUCAUGUCAUCAAAAUAAACUUCCCACGAGUUGAACUCCUUUUCUUCUGUGCUUCUUUGAUGAUGAAAUCAGUUAGCUUCAACAGUCCAUCUGUUUCUGAAACAAAACCAUUUUCUCAUCGAUACUAGCUUUCUACUACGAAGUAGAUGUUUCCACCUCGAAUUUUUUUUAUUUUGUUUUUGUCAUCUUCUUUGUUUUGUCUUCUUAGAAUCUUCCAAGGACACUCGAAUUUUACCUAGCUUUUUGUACUGGAUACGAGUUAAGACCAUAAACCACAGAAAACUCCACCAGGGAAUCGGACUUUGCUCUUGAUAACAACUUGGUUCAACUUUGGCCUGAUACCAACUUGAUACAAAUUACUAGACAAAUAUACUAUUGAAUGCGGAAUUAAACAAUAACAGUAAAUAAGAUGAACAAAAAACAAGAUCUCGAAGAAAACUAUCUUUUUUAUUGAAUAUUAUGAAGAUUACAAGAAUCUCUGCCUCACAAUACUUUAGACAAGUUAAGCCCUAGAUACCUCUCUUAUUUCUAAACAUAAUAAACCUUAGUGGUUUUUCUAAACAAGCUAAAAUAAGCUAUGUUUGGUCUAUGUUUUGGUUUAUGCCAAAACAUCAAUCUAAACAAACUAAAUAGUAGUUGUUUCUCUAAACAAGCUAAGCACUAGCGUGUUUGUAUCUCUUGAAACAAGUAAGGACUACAUGUUUCUCUUUAUAUAUUUUGGUUUAUGCCAAAACAUAUAUUUAUAGGCCAAUAAUUUAUUUUUUCCUAAAACUCUAUCUCUUAUAGAACAAGAAAACCUAUUUAAGGUUUUCUUUUCUUUGUCCUAUAAGAAAAAUAACUGUUAUGUUUCCAGAUAGGAUAUACCUGUAUCAAUAAACUAACCCAUUUUUCAAGGCGGCAAUUAUAUGUAACCUUGGGAACCUUAUGGGAAGAGUGGAUUCGCCAAAAACUUGUAUUCCUUCCAUUCCCGACCUUAUGUGUAUUGUUCUCGAAUAAUUUCUCAUUUGAGGAAAAAAUGCCCCUCCAAAGACCUUUGGACAUAAUUCUCCUCUUCCAUCCGCUUAGGCACGAAAGCUUCUAUGACGGGAUCCUAAACUUGAGUGUUUUUGUAAUUAGAUCCAAGCGGAAUGCCAAGAUAUUUUGUUGGGAGUUUCCAAACCUCACAACCAAUAACAUUUGCAUGAUGCUUACAUUGGGUACCUCUCCAACCCCAAAGAUAUGAGAUUUUGAGAGAUUCAUUUUGAGACCCGAGAUCAUUUCAAAAAUACCCAAAAUGACAAACCAUACUUACAUUGCUUUUAGAUGGAUUUGUGAGAAAAAUGGUGUCAUCCGCGAAUCGCAAGAUGCCCACUUUCACCAAGUAUUCCCUUUGCCCUUUGUGGAAACCUUCAAGAAAUCCUAACUCCAUUUCCUUAGAUGUAAGUCGGGUGAGAACUUCCAUGAAGAGGAUAAAGAUAAAGGAGGAUAGAGGGUCCCUUUGUCUUAAUUAAGCCUCUAUGAGAUUUGAAGUUACCCACUGGUGCGCCUUCCACCAUAACCGAAACCCGGGCGGUCCAAAUACAAGUAUCGACCCAUCUUCUCCCCUUAGGUCCAAAACCCAUGCGGCCUAUUAUGUAGUCCAAGAAACCCUAAUUAACAUGAUCAUAUGCUUUAGUGAUGUCUACCUUGCAUACAAUAGUCAGUUCUCCCCUUUUUAACUUAUAAUCCACACAUUCAUUAGCUACAAUCACAUUAGGGUAAUUUCCCAUAUGGGACCAAGAUUAUGGUGCCUCUUCUAAAAUGGGACCAAUAGACAGGAUAUAUCCCAAACCUGCCCUGUUUAACCAAAAAGUCAUAUUUUCUCAUAUUUUAAGCAAAAUUGGUAUUUUCUAUGGGAAAUUUCUCAAAAAACCACCACCUUUAGGUGCUUCUUCCCAAAUAGCCACUCAUGAGAGGUAAUCUUCCCAAACAGCCACCUUACCCCACCACUUUACACUUUUCAGAUUUUUUCUUACCUAAACUACCCUUUGUACUUAUGACAAAACUUUUUGCUUUGAUUUGACCAAGUACAAGCUGAUGUGACCCCUUCACAAUAACCUAUAUAAAAAUUACAACCAUUGAUUUUGCUAGAAAUGAGAGAUUAAAUCACAACCGUUUAUUAUUCAGAUGUAUUUACAAAACUACCCUUAACAGUUGUUUCCAACUAAAUGACGUGUACGGCUGAGAUUAAACAUGGAUUUGUGCAUACAACGAAAAGAGGACACGUGUUUGUAGCCGUUUGGAGGGUAAUUUUGGCGGGAAAAUUUUGAGAAGAUAAUCACUUCCAAACAAGAACCCUAACUUACCAAAAACCAUUUUUCUUCUUCCAACCGCCUCCAUUAACACAGUUACCAUUUCUUGUUGAAAUUAUACCGUUUCAAUUAUUUCUUUGUAGUUCUAGAACUCUUAAUUUUGACAAAAAAUGGUUGUUGAAUCCACCACCUCCAAAACCCUAGAAACAGUAUCAAUGUCUGUUAAUGAGAAGUUAGAAGGAGCAAUUGAAGAAAAAAUUGAAGAGCAAGUAGAAGAAACUGAAGAGAAAGAAGCAGAAUUUGGAAAGAAAGACGAAGAAGAAGAAGAAGAGAAACAUGUAGAAGAAGAACAACAAAUUGCAGGCGAAGAACAGCAAACCGAAGUGGGAGAACAACAAAUCGAAGUGGGAGAACAGCAAAUUGAGGUGGGAGAACAGCAAAUUGAGGUGGGAGAACAACAAAUUGAAGGAGGAGAACAGCGAAUUGAAGAGGAACAACAACAAAUGGAAGAAGAAGUAGACAAAAUUCAAGAGCAACAUGAUGAAAUUCCAGAAUCAAGUGGAGUAGAACAAAUGAGAAAGAAAUAUGGCCGUAAUUUCAGUGUAACGUUAAGAUGCUCAAUGAAGAAGGUAGGUGAUCAUUUUGGGAGUAAAUUACCUCUGUUGGAGAAGGAAAAUUUUAGUUCUUCAUGCUUUAGGUAUUUCUUAGAUGUUCAAACAGAUAAAUUGCACAUGAUUACAUCUGUUGUUACACAAAUUGUGAAAGCUAGAGUUGGUAAAUUGAAGUACAAGAUUGGGGGAAAGGAAAUGCAGUUCAAACCAUUUGAUGUGACUUUAAAUUUAGGAUUGAAAAUUGGUCGUGUACCACAUGAGUUCAUUUUCAUGGAAUCAGAAGUUCCAAGUCCAUUUAGGGAGAAAUAUUUUGGCAAGAGGAAAAGCAUUAAGGAAAAGAACAUGAAAGAUGCAAUUGAAGUAGCACGAAAUGAUCAUAAUUCUGGUGAUGAUGUGCAUCGUUUGAAUCGUUUGUUGCUUCUGUUAACAUGCCUACUACCAGAUGCAUCUAAUACCAUCGAUGUCAGGUAUGUCUAAAAUUCACACAUUUAUCUUCAAAUGUGGUUAUAUUAUCUGCUAAAUAUGUUCAUGUUAUCUUCUAAAAUUCACACAAUGUUAUCUGGCAACAUUGUGGUUUUUAUUCUUAUAUGCUAAAUAGUAAUAUUUAGGUUUCAUAUUUGUGUACUGUUAUCGGCUAAAAAUCAGCAUGUUAUCCUCUAAACUUUAAUCAUGUCUCCUCUACAUUUAGUAUAUGCACAAGGUUUAGGGUAAAUAUGUUAUGUUAUAUAAUGUUAACAUGGUUUAUGUAUACUGUAAUAGUCUUGUAACAUAUAUGACCAUUGAUCUUAGGUAUGUCGACCUUGCAUCAAAUCUUCAAGAAUUUGAUGAAUUUCCUUGGGGAACUGUUGUGUUCAAUCUGUUAGAUUAUGCUCUAGAAACAGCAGCAACAAAUGAAGCAGCCCAAAAACUGAGUUACAAUCUACCUGGGUGUGUGCUUGCAUUUAUUGUCUGGGCAUACAGCCACAUCCCAUGUCUAGGUCCUAGAAGGGAAGCUGAUGUACCACCAUUCCCUAGGAUGCUUGGUUGGAAGAAUCUUCCAGGGAAAACAACAUGUAGAGAAACCAUUGAUAAGAAGCUUAACCCUCCUCGCGAAAAAGCAAUCGAAGUUGCUCCCCCUUUCCUUACUCUUCAAGAAUCUGGUGAAGCACUUGUUGUUGAAGCAGAAAAGGUAUGUAUACUACUCUCUAAUUAGGUUUUAUAUCCCAUACAUUAUGCCUAGUCUAUCUUGUAGAUAGUAAAUUCCUACAUUACAUAUAACAAUCUAUCUGCAUCCUCAAAUCAUGUCUAUCUUAUCGGCUAAAAUUUCAAUUAUAUCCUCUAGACUAUGAAAUAUUAUUUGUUAAUAUUAGCAUGUAUAUAAUGUUGUUGUAGUGGCAACAAGAACGUGACAAGCAAGAAAAGGAUAUAGGUGUGGGUUCACUGGAAGGAAUUCUGAAGGGAGUGGUAAAAGACAUUGAGGAAGGAGUUGUUUCUGGUGUAAGCAAGAUAUUGAAACCCGAGGCACUGAAAGGGGGGUCUUCAUCUUCAACCCAGAUUAGAAACAUUCCUAAAGGAAGGAAACAGAAGAAGAACACUACCCCCACCAGAAAGAGGAUACAACCAAGUACCUCCACCAAAAAGAAAAAGGAACCAAGUGGGGUCACCACAAAGAGGAAGGAACCAAGUACCCCCACCAAAAAGAGGAAGGAACCAAGUACCCCCAGUAAGAGAAAUGAAACUAAGAAGAGUGCAGCAGCUGUAGCCAAGUCUAAAACAACUGUACCUGCCCCCAAGGCUAACCCUAAAACAACUGCUACACCCAAGACCAAAACAACUUUGGCACCCAAGUCAGUUCUGAAGAAGGGCAACACAACUACCCCCACCACCAAAGCAGUCUCCAAGAGUGGUGUUAAUACAAGGAGUCAAAGCAUUUCCACUCCAACCAAGAGAAAGCCUACUCCAUCUAAAACCAAUGCAAAGACCAUUUCAAGUCCUAGUGCAGAUAGAAAAGGCAAGAAAAUUGCCAGUGAGAAGUUAAGUUCACCAAUUGCAACAACUCCAGAGAGGUCUCAAACUAUACGACUCUGUUUAGGUGGGAUGAGGGUCACAAGGAGCACAAGUCAAAUUAUCGAACAGGAGAAGCAACAAGUGACUCCACCUCCACCUCCACCAAAGAAACAGAAGACCAUCCCACCUCCUACCAGAAAACAACCUCUUAGGUAUGAAUUUCAGUUAUAUCCUCUAAAUCCCUAAUUAUUAGCAGCUAAUUGUUAACUUUAUACCAUCUAAUAUUUGUCUUAUAUCCUCAGGCAAAGCAGGUCUUGACAGGUCAUGGAGGAAAAAUAUUAAAGCCAAAGAUGCAAGAAUUGCUGAGAGGAAAAAUGCCAAAGAAGAAACUAAAAAAAGAAGAUUUAUUCCAAGGCCAGAUAGUGAUGAAGAUGAGGACAUACAGGUUCAAAAGAAAGGAAAAAACACCCAAGGGGGGGCUGAGAUAGAAAAAAAGGAUGAUGGAGCAGUUGAAGGAGAAGGAAAGAAUGUUGAAGAAAAAGUUGAAGGAGAAGGAAAAAUUGAAGGAGAAGUUGAAGGAAAACUUAGUAAUGAAGGAAAAGUUGAAGGAGAAGAAAAAGUCCAAGGAGAAGGAGAAAAAAAAUGAAAGUGGAGGAAAGAUUGCAGUAGAAGCUAAUAAUGAAGGAAAUGUUAAAGGAGAAGAAAAGGUUGAAGGAGAAGGACAAAAUGAAAGUGAAGGAAAUGUUGCAGUGGAAGGUAAUACAGCACAAGAAGUUAUUGUUGCUGAUGCAAUGGCAAUAUUGGCCCAAUCAGAUAUUCUUGAUACUACCAUGGAGCAUGUGCAGGAGUUGGCCAUCCUCAAGUCUAAGAAUACUGAUGUGCAAGAUCUGAAAGAGUUGCCUACUAAAAUUCAAGAGGUAGAUGCUAAGGAGGAUGAGCAAGAUGAAGAAGAUUAUAGCUUUUAUGAUGACAUUCCAGCUCCUAAGAAUAUUCCUCAAGAAUAUUUAGUGGAAAUAGAUGGUGCAUCAGCUGGUGAGAUGGGUAAUCUUGAACACCAUGAAGAUGAUAUAGUUUUCACUGGUGAUUUAGAAGAAGAUGAAGAAGUGGAUAAGCAAGCUAUUGAUGACUUUAACAACAGCCAGAAAAGAUUGAGAAAAAAGAAUCAGGGGAAGGAAGAGGGGAAAGAAGUUGAUGCUCAGCUGAUGAUUACCAUGGGCAUGUCAUUUCUAGAUAGAACUACAACUCAUAAUGAGACAGAUGUUUUGAACUAUUACUGGUGGUUGGCGAAGGAGCCAAAUUUUGAGCAUAAAGUGAUGAGGGUUUAUGGAUAUGGACUGGAAGUCCAUGUGAAGCAGUUUUACAGCCUAUGGAACACUAAUUGGGUGCAUGGAGAUAUCAUUGAAGCCUAUGUUAGCUUGAUCAUUCGUUGGUAUGGAAUGAUGAGGAGGCAUAUCAACCCACAUAAUCAGUAUGCUAUUGUUCCAACAAUAUAUUUUGCUGUAAGUAUUUUACGCUUUUUUUUUUUAAAAGUUCUUAUACUUGAACCUUUAAGUAGAGGAUACAGUUUUGUUAUUUAGAGUUUACAUUAUGAGUAAUUUGGUGAUACAAAUAUAUUUGUUUGGUUGUGUCAGGGCAUGCUUUAUGGUGAUGUUCAAUAUACAUACAAUAGGCGUAUGAGGGAUCCAACUUUUGCUGCACUAUCACCAGCAAACAGAGUUAGGAGUGGUGCCUUCAAAAUUAAGACAGGUGCCAUAAACAUUAUGAGCCCUACUGGUCAUAUGGAGAACCAAGUUUCCCCUUACCAUGCAAAGGCUAUACUUAUUCCUUUACAAGUAAGAGUAUUGACUUUGUACCCUCUAAUAUACUUUAAGAACAUCCUCUAACAACAAAGGUAAUAUCUGCUAAAACCUAUGAUAUUUGUUAAUAAUGCAGGUCAAUGAUAACCACUGGGUGCUCUUGAGUUUCAGCUUUAAGGAAAAGAAGGUGAGAAUAUAUGACUCUUUGGGCUUGAAGAUACCAUCAAGACAACAGAUAGGGUUGGAGAAAAUGUUGCCUUAUGUGGUCUUUGCUGCUGACCCUAACAUUCCAGAUUUUGACUUGGAAUUUGCAUGGGAAAGGGAGUUUGUGAAUUGCCCAGAACAAGAUGAUGGUCACAGCUGUGGUGUUUUUUUGCUUGGUUACAUUGAUUGUAUAGUCAGGGGUAGGGAACUUGCUUUCAAGAGAAGGUCUGCUCUUAUGAGGAAACGUGUUGCUAUGGACCUUGUUCAGUGUGGAUUGAAGCCACCAAGUAAGGGUGUAUGAACAUUGUGACUAAACUUUUGUAGCAUAACAUCAUUCUUAGGUAAUAUUUCAGCAAGUCGUAUAUAUUUUUGUUAUUUACUAACUCUUGUGUAACAAUGUGAGGACAGUUAAUAAAACCAAGGAACGAUGAUUGUCGUAUUUAGUAUUUGACUUGCGUGACUAUGUUUGGACUGAUAGUAUAUAGUCUCACAUACAAUAGAAAAAAGUUCAUCAUUGCGUUCGGUAUAGUAGACCCUUACUAAAUUUACCCUUAAUGAUAAACCUCACACCUCCUGCCCAAAGAUAUUUGGGAUAUUCUUACUACCAGCAGGGUCCUCAAGGCAUUUUAUAGCAUCGACAAAACCCUGUAUUGGUGCCAUUCUCUCUCCCCAACUCCCCUGUAUUGGUCCUUCAGAACACAAAUAUUCCAUUGAUAUAACUCAAGACUUUGUGCCACCUUAUUUGGCACUAGGAGAGAUGCAUGGACACCCUUGUAUUUCAUGCAUUACACUCUAGAGAUGUAUGAACAGUGUAAAAGUGACUAAGCUUUUGUAAAACUAGAUAAGUUUAAUGUCCCGUCAAUAUUUACUUUCCCCUCAAUGUAUUUUGGUACUUUUGAGGGAUGUUCUUAAAUGGUCAUAAAGAAUAUUAGUUGGAUGGUGAAAAAAAUUAGUCAAAUGCUUGGAAUCCGCGUCUUGAUCUUCCGACUUUAUUAAAUGUUACUAGUAUAAAUCCAUGUAGAGGUUACAACUCAAACAAACCAUUCUUGAGAGCUUUUUUUUUCAAAACUAUGGCUUCUAUUUCUGUUUCUCUACUCAAGGAUGUAGAUGAAUGCUUUCUGAAGCUUCUCAAAAUAUUAGACCCUUUCCUUGGAAGUUUCAGUGAUGAUGAAGAAGAUGAUGAUGACGAAGAAGAGUCUGAUUCCUUGAAUACCUCAGCAAGUGAAGAGAAGAAAGAUGAUGAGUCUGAUUCCUUGAAUACCUCAGAUUAUGUCCAGCCCAAUCCUCUUGUUGAGUACCCUGAUGACAGCGACGUGCCUUCUUCCCAAGAAUGUGUUGCUGCAAAGGAUAAGGACAUAGCAGAGGAAGAUGAGGUGCAGAGCAGCUUUUCUGGUGAACAUGAAGAAGAAGAAGACGAAGAAGAAGAAGAAGAUUACGAUGAUGAUGAGUGAAAGUUUGCUGAAGUGUUUUCUGUUUUUUUUUUUAUGUUGUUGAAGUUUUUUUUUUCUUGUCUUGUAUGGAUGUACAAACCCUUUUCCUUUCCCUUCCCUUAUGCAAAUUAUGAAAGUAUUAUUAUAUUACAUGUUCUGUUCGUCCAAUAUUUAGUAUACGUUAGAGGAUACAUAAUUACUAGUUAGAGAUACUAAUCAUCACCAUUAGAGGAUACAUAUGUGAUAUCUGGAAGAUAAGCGAAGAAACAUACAAAAUAAAACCCAACCUACAAAAUGUGCCAUAUACAGGCAAACAUAGAAAAAAAUGGUCAAAGUCUGGUACAACUUCCAAAACACUCCCAACACUUAAUAGGAAUCAGUUGGUCAAAAAAUAUUCAAAGUGUGGUACACCUUGAGCUUCUUCACUCUUGUAAUGUUGGAUGUACAAAUGAUUUUCAUUAAUACAACAAGUUAGUAUACAUUAGAUGGUAACGUUUCACUCGUUGGAGGAUAUUAAUCUUUCAACUAGCGGAUACAUAUUUGCCAUAUAAAAGGCAAACAUAAAACAAAAUGGUCAAAAUCUGGUACACCUUCCAAAGGCAUAACUUAGAUAAAAAAACACCCAACACUUAAUAGGAAUCAGGUGGUCCAUCAGGUAAAGGUUGGAAAAAAUAGUCAAAGUCUGGUACAACUUCAAUACAUGUUGAUUUGUUGUGUCCUAUACCCCUACACCUUGAACAUCUUCUCUCCUGUACUGGGAUACCUUCAAGUUUGCCUCUCCUUCUCUUUUUCUUUGGACGUCCAGGCAUAACACAUGGUAGUGGUGGAAGAAUCUUUCUGCCUACUCUAUCCUUUGGCCAUUCAUCCUUUCCUCUUGUGGGUCUCCAAUUUUCUUUGUAGGUCUCCAUAUAUGUCUCCCUUCUGUAGUACACACCACAAAAUGUGUAUGGAUCCAUUUGACAUUCUCUAAUGACAGACAUUGCGUGCUCACAGGGUAUUCCCAUAGUUUGCCACCAUUUGCAUGUACAUUCUCUUGCAUUCAAGUCCACCACACAUGUCCUGCUCUCACCAUAAACUGUCCAAAUAGUUGGAGAUGUCUUCUCACGAGUGAAGGUUCUACCUCUCCAAGCAUUAUGCAAAAUUUGUUCGUGGCACCACUUAGUUACAGGUGUCUUGAAUUUCUCACCAUCAACACGAUAAUCUCUGUGAUGCCUCAUGAUGUUGGCAUGAAUUCCUUCGACCAGAUUUGUAGCAGGAAGCAUUCUUUCUGGUAUAAUCAUUCUAUUCCACGACUCCACAUGAUUAGUGUAAAUAAUUCCAUAUCUGCUUAAGAAGAGGAGACAGAUAUACAAUUAACCGGUAUGAUAACUAUACUUAGACGGUAGAAUGACUACUAGUAGAGGAUAUUGAAAUGCAUAGAUACCGACCUGGGUUUCUCCUGAAACGCACUAGCCCACUUAUUUAGUGGUCCAAUUGCCAUUAGGUUGUGGUAUGCCUUUGGAGAUAUGGCCCAUAUUUGCAGCAUCAAACCCCAGAACUCAUUUUGAUUGAGUGUCUUGGCAGCCUCUUUAAGCAACCACCUUACUUUUGCAUUCCCAUAUUUAAGGGACAUGUGUUGGGCACAAUACAUAUGACAAGCCUUGGGCAAAAUCUUUGGUACAGCUUGAAUAAUACUUUUGUGCCUAUCUGAAAGAAGCACAAACUCGUGGUCAGUCCCAACCACAUGGUCCCUAAGUUUUUCAAGAAACCAUUCCCAAUACUCAUUGUUUUCUUUUUGCACAAGGGCAAAAGCAAUAGGGAACACAUGAUUAUUUCCUUCAAUUCCAAUUGCUGAUAGUACAACUCCAGGAUAUCUCCCUUUCAGAAAUGUUCCAUCUAUAAUGAUUACCGAUCUUAAUGUGUUUCUGUAAGCUCUCACAGUUAUACCAUAUGACCAGAACAUACAUUGGAAUUCAUCACCAGGGCCUGUGAUAAUAUCAGUCUGAGAAUCUGGAUCGACCAACUUAAGUUCAUUACAGUAUGUUUCAAGUUGUUGAUAUGACUCACUGAAGCUUCCCCUUAACUACAAGUGGAGGAUAAAAAUGACUAAUUAGAGGAGAUGAUAAAAGUAAGUAGCCGAGAUAUAUGAAUGAACUAGAGGAUAAGAUAGGAAGGUGCAAUUUUAAAUAGAACAAUACCUUGGCCAAUGCCUUUUCUUUAGCUCUCCAAGCAACUUUGUACGAAAUCUGGGUAAGAUAUUCCUCCUCAAUUUGGCUUUUUAGUUGUUUGGAUGUAAGAUCUUCAUUAUCCCGUAAUUUUCUCGCAAUUUUAGAUGCAACCCAAUCACUAUCAGCUUGACGAUUUUUUGAUCCAAGUCUGAACUUCCCACAUGUGUGACGCUAAGCAAUGCAUCUUAUUUGCCAAGUACCAUUCAAAUUUGGUGUAGCACGAACAUACCAUGGGCAAGUUGGAACUUUACAUUUCCAAUACACCCUUUUCAUCUCAGUUUUAUACUUAUUCAGGUCAAACUCCUCAUCGAUUGCAUAAGAUUUCAUGUCUCUCAUAAAAUCAUCCCGACACAAAUAUAUCUGCCCAAUCUUAGGGAACAAGUACUUAUUGUGUAAAGGUUCAGUGUGUGGAGCACAACCUCUAUUGAUCCGACGAAGAUUUGCGUAUAUAUUAUGUAGUUCUUGUUUGAUUUCAUCAUCUUCAUCUCGAUUGUUCUGAGAUGGGUAAUGCCUUUGACGUCGUACACUAUCUUCAUCCCGAUUGUUCUGCUGUUGUGGAGGAUUUGUCUGAUUUUGAACAUUGUCUUGUUAUUGUGGAUCAUUUGUUUGACUUACGAAAUUACCCUCCUCAUGUUGAGCAUUGUCAUGGCUUGGAAAAUGUUCUGGAACUUGUCCAUGACUUGGUAUAUUGCUCUCAUGUUGGGAAGCAUUGUUGUCGCUACAUGCAUGUCUGUAUCUAUCCUCUAAGUUGCAUCUAACAUUGGCUAAACGUGUAGACGUACCUGCUACAUCUAAGGGGUUUUCUUUUCCACCAUAAAACCUUGACAGGGGUGUAGGGCCUUCUUCCUGGCUAUCUGAAUGUUGUGAACCAAACAUAGGCGCAGAAUCAUCAUACAUCUAAUCUUCCAAUUCAUCCUCUGUGGUCCAAAUGAUUGGUGAAUCAUGCACAUCCAGUAGAGAUUCUGUAUAAGUUGCAUCGCUAUCGUCGUCGGCUAUCGAACAAUCUUUACCUUCAUCUUGUGGUUGCUCUUCACCUGCCCAUUGAGCUUGAUCUUUUAGUUGUGUUUGUUGCAGUGCAUUAUAUUCUUCAAUUUCCUCGGAGAAUCCUUUCCAAAAUCCAUCAUUAUUACACAUCUCAGAAAGAAUUGCCGCUGCAGCACACUCUUUAGCGGAUAAAUUGGGAGAAUUAGAGGAUAUAUCCCCGGCAUUAGAGGAUAUGUCAUGAGAACUGUACCCAACUUUAUUAUCAGCUCCAAUUUGCACAACAUUAGCCACCAAUGGAGAUUCAAUUCUAGAUGAAACUCUAGAAGGAGCAGGAGGGGAAGUUGUUAUAACAGCUUGGGGAUAAGUCCCAGGUGGGGUAUCCAAUACAAGAGGUUGUUGUUCAUUCCCAUACCCCUUUGAGAAGAUAACAUGGCUCUUCUGUGCUGAUGCAGGGUCUAGGAGAUAUUGGGAAGAAAUACAACCUUGCUUUACAGGUGUGGAAAAAUCUGAAUAAUCAGGUUGAUUACCCCAAUCUGUUGGAGGGGUAGGUUCUGGGAAAAGGUUUUUUUUCAAUCCAGUUUUUCCUUUACCUUUUUCUUCCUCAAUUACUUUCUCCUUUCCUUUCACAUUUUUUUGUGUUUUGGAGCUUGAUUCCCCAUUCAUUGAUUUCAAAUCUCCUACUAUCCAAACAGACAUGACGUAUAAGUUCUUGGCAGCAACAAUCCCCAAUAUCAAUUGAUCAUAGUCAUAUUGAGCAGGGAUGCUGCGUGGACUGUCAUUGACGACAGCUUGAAUUAAAAAAUUGUGUCUUUGUGUAUGAGUCAUAUCUUCAACCAUCUCCAUAAACUCUUCAUAUGGUGCCUUCAACUCCAAAACUGUUAUUUUUGUGUCACCAUUCUUGUAUGAUAACAAUCCAUCUGCAUUAGUCUCAACCUGACCACCAUAGCGAAACACAACAUUGAUAGUGCUACCUGAAACCACAAUUUCAUGCAAAGUAUUAAAACAUAUCGGCUAAACGUAACUAACAAGUCGGUUAGUAUACUUUUAUUUAGCCUCUAAUUGAAUAUAAGUUAUAGUUUACUUUUAAAACAGAGUGACAUUGACCUCAGAUGUGCACCAGUAAACUGAUAAUGAACAACAAUCAAAAUCACAGCACCAUUUAUGUUAGCUUGUCUCUAAAUUAUGAGGAUGUGAGUUUGCUAAAGAUACAACUUUUAUGAGGUUGGGAUUUCAUAAAAACACAAUCUUUAUCAAAGAUUCCAUCUUUAUGAAGGUUAGGGUUCAUAAAGAUGGUAUCUUUAUAAAGAUUCUAUCUUUUCAUGAGAUACCAUCUUUAAAUCGCCAACACCUUCACCAGAUUUUUGUCAUAAAACAGAACAAAACGUAUGUUAAAAUGCUUACACAAAUCAACGACACCUACUGCAUUCAAAGCCAAACAACAACACCUACUUUAUUGUCCAAACAUUGAAAUCUGCAAAUUUAAGAACAUUUAAAGCUUACUUACCUAAUUUACUGUUCAUCUGGACUUCAUUUGCAAUUAGAGCUUUCGAUUUUGCCUUUUUCUUUGGUGGCAUUUUGGGUGUGAAGAAGUACAAUGUUUGUGUGUUUAAGGUUGGGGAGAAGAAUAGUGUAGAAGAAGGUGCAGAACAAAGGGAGAACAAAGGGAGAACAAACAAUGUUAAGGUUCAGAGAAAAAUCGAAAAAGUAGAAGAAGAGAAGAGAUGAAGAUGACGUGGUUGUAUGUGCAGUACAUUAAUUAGAAAAUCCAACGGUAGGGAUCUAUUGUUUCCAAUCCAACGGCUAAGUUUGAUUUAAUGUCCUUAUCUAAAACUUAAAUGCAAUAAAGGAAUCUUUUCUUUUCAACCAAAAAGUUGAUUUGAUGGAGACAAGAGCAACAGAUGUACAGAAGGGUAUAAUUGUAAAGAAAAAGUAGGCAAGUGGGGUAAGGUGGCUAUUUGGGAAGAUUAGCUCUCAUUGGUGGCUAUAUGGGAAGAGACACCUAAAGGUGGUGGUUUUUUGAGAAAUUUCCCAUGUUUCUUUUGACGAAACAUUUGGUAUAACCGAACUAUCAUCAUUUGGUAUAUGACGACAUACUUAUUUUUUUUUAGUUUUUUUUUUUUUGACCACAUACAUAGAUUGAAAAUCUCCCUCUAAAACAAUAAAUAUUAAUUUAUCGAUAAAGUAAUAUAUUAUUCAUUUAUCGAUAAAUAAAUAAUCUCACUAAAGUAAUAUAUUUUUUCGGUCCCAAGGGUAUGCAUUUAUCGAAGUUUUAUUAUAGUUCAAAAUGCCAUGGAAUUUCUUCUCUUCGUAUUUUUUUUUCUUCAAGAAUCGGAUCAGAAUAAUGACUAUUUGGACACUCAAGAUCCAAUAUGCUCGGAUUUUUAAUAACUAUUAUUGAAUACAAAAUUAAACAAUAACAGUAAAUAAAGAUGAAUAAAUCCAAGAUAUUGAAGAAAUUCUCUUUUUUAUUGAAUAUUAUAAAGAUCGCAAGAAUCGCUACUUCAUAAUACUCUCUAGUCUACACAAAGUAAAUCCUAACUGCCUAUCUUAUGUUACGAUUUUAUAGACUUUGGACAACUUUCAAGUUAAUGUUGUCUCGAAUGCUUCAUGGGUCUUGAGCCCAGAUCCUAACUGUUCUAUCAUUAUUAAGUCCCGCAGAAGCAAUUUUGUUCUCCGUGGGGUGACAUGAUACAGAGAUGACAGUAUCAGUGUGGCCUUCCAGUUUCUGAACCAUAUUUUUCAACUGCAAAUCCCAUAUGUAGACGCAAUGAUCCUCUGACCCACUAACAAUAUACUUCCCAUUAGUCACAGAAAAUGUGGAUGUUAUACAGUACACUUUGUUGACAUGGCCUGUGUAAAUUUUCAAAAACUUCCCUGUUGAGUAAUUCCACAGCUUCUGCAAGUAUAAGAAAGAAGGGAAAAAUGAAACAAAAUCUUAAAACAUAGUACAAAUGCCAAGAAACGAGUGCAUAAAAAUAGAACCGAAUACUGAAGAACACAGAUCCAAAUCACUAAUUAACACAAAGUCUCUACAUGACUUAAACUAUUAUACAUUGUAAAAUGGUAUAUAACCAGCAGUUCAAAACUAUGAAGCAAUAUGGAACAAACGAUCAUGUAAAGUGAUGGAUCUACACCCGCAAGACAUAAAAAGAAGGGUCUCUAGCAGAACACUGAGAAGGUCAGAAGCAGUAAUCUAGUCAUCCUAUCACCAACAACAUUUUCCCCACAAUCAAAGAAUGUCCAUAGCAAAAGGUAUUCAAGGACCAAGUAGUAUGUUCUUCAAAACCCCAACAGCCUUAGCAAUUAGGUUUCAGUGUUGGAGUGUCAAAACAUUUAGAUGAAUGUACUCUCUACAUCUCAAGCACAUAAAAAUUUAAGAGUGAAUGAUUUGUCUCAAGAGUCAUUUCAUUAUUGGGGGGAAGUAAACUUAUUUACUUCUCUAGCCAAAUUUUCAAUAAUAAGGUCCCUCUUAUAAACUAAUUUGACAACUGUCAACACUAACCUAACAAAAACAUACAACUCCUUUAAAUUAAAACCCACCAAACUACUUGGUUUUUUCAUAAGAAAACUUCCAUAAACAUAUUUAUCAAACUAGGCUACUCCAUCAAACUAUUUAAUUUAUCACUUGAAAUUCCUCACUAUCCAUUUGUUCUAAUUAUCUAAUUUCUCAAUUAUAUAUAUUCCACAAACCUAUUCAAAUUUUCUAGUUUCUACUUAUGUUCAAUCCUUCAAUCAAUAUUUCCCAUAUAUACUUCUCCAUAGCCUAUAACUCCCACUAUCCAUUGUUGUUCAGACUCAUUACAUAAUAAUUUAAUCGAAUGGAAUCCAUCACACAUAAAAGAUAAUUGUUUGUUUUAAACAUUUACUAGACUUUAAUGCAACGAUUGAUGCGAAAAAAAACUUACCAAAGUAUCAUCCAAAGUUGCAACAAGAAUAAACUUCCCAUUAGGCGAAAACUUAGCAAAAGAAACAGCAGGUCCAUUCUUUUCAUCAAUUAAAGUUUUCAAACAAGCACCAGUAGCAGCAUCCCAAAUCUUACAACUUCCAUCAUGACUACUUGAAACAAUAAUAGAACCAUCUCGAAUAAAAUGUACUGAAGUAACUGGCAUAUUAUGACCUUGUAUUACAUGUAAUGAUUUCCCAGUCUUAACAUCCCAAACUCUAAUACUUUCAUCAAAUGAACCAGAUACAAUUAAAUUAGAUUGUGGAUUAAAAUUAACACAAAAUACAUAACCACUAUGACCACGAAGAGUUUUAAAAGAUUCACCAGAUCGUGCAUCCCAAAUACGAAGCGUACGAUCAUCAGAAGCAGAGCAGAUAUAAUGUGAAUCAGAUGACCAUGCAAGAUCAGAAACACCAGCAGAAUGACCCUUGAGAUGAGAUAAUGGUGUAAAAGUUUGAGUUGAGUAAACAAUUAGGGUUUUAUCAAGAGAAGCUGAUGCUAAGAGUGUGCCGUCGUUGGAGUAACGAACACAUGAGACGGCGGAGGUAUGGGUUGUUAGGGUUUUAAGGAGGCGGUAUGGACGAUAUGGUGGUGAUGGUGGUGGUUGGCUUCCGCCUCUGCUCGACAUCUACACGGUGAGGAGAGAGAAAGUAGUUGUGGUUAUUGGGCUAAAGGUUUUACUUAAACUGGGUUAUAUUGGGCUUAGGUGGAUUAUUAUUGAUCCACAAAACCCAGUAUCUUUUGUUUUGAUUUUUUUGGAGUUUUAUUGGGCUGAAACAUAGAUUUAAGGCCCAUAAAGAUACUCUUGAUAUCAUACAGUAAAACCUCAAUAAAUGAAUGUUCGAUAAAGUAAUAACCUCGCUUAGAUAAUAAUUUCUUCCGGUCCCGACUUGGGCAUGUGUACUAAAGUAAUAUCCUCGCUAAAUGCAUUAAGUAAUAAAAAAAUUUGAAUCCUUAAAGGCCUAAAAAAAAUAUAUAAAGUAAUAAUUACUAAAUUUCAUACAAAAAUUUAUGUAUAUAAUCUACAUACUCUUGAACUUUUAUUUAUAAAUUUUUUUUUUUUUUUUUGGAAAUAUGCAUCUAAAGUUUUGUUUUUUUUUUUUGGUACCCAAACCAAAUUCCCAUCCUUAACUUUUUGUAGAGCAUACAUAACUUCUAAAAUAUUUUGCUCAUAUUGUAGCAAAUAGUUAUAUAAUGUGAUUAUUAAUUGAAAUGUUUCUUUUGACGAAACAUUUGGUAUAACCGAACUAUCAUCAUUUGGUAUAUGACGACAUACUUAUUUUUUUUUAGUUUUUUUUUCUUUGACCACAUACAUAGAUUGAAAAUCUCCCUCUAAAACAAUAAAUAUUAAUUUAUCGAUAAAAUAAUAUAUUAUUCAUUUAUCGCUAAAUAAAUAAUCUCACUAAAGUAAUAUAUUUUUUCGGUCCCAAGGGUAUGCAUUUAUCGAAGUUUUAUUAUAGUUCAAAAUGCCAUGGAAUUUCUUCUCUUCGUAUUUUUUUUUCUUCAAACAGAAUAAUGACUAUUUGGACACUCAAGAUCCAAUAUGCUCGGAUUUUUAAUAACUAUUAUUGAAUACAAAAUUAAACAAUAACAGUAAAUAAAGAUGAACAAAUCCAAGAUAUUGAAGAAAUUCUUUUUUUUAUUGAAUAUUAUAAAGAUCGCAAGAAUCUCUACUUCAUAAUACUCUCUAGUCUACGCAAAAUAAAUCCUAACUGCCUAUCUUAUGUUACGAUUUUAUAGACUUUGGACAACUUUGAAUUGUACAAAGAAAUCUAUUUCCUAUUCACCCGGAAUAAGAAAAUCUGUCUCUAGAACCUUCCAAAAUUCCAAAGAUCUUUUAGAACAUUGCCCUGAAGGACUGAAGGUGUUGCCUUUCGAAUCCGCAGUAGAAUAGCAAAAUGUCUAUCCCCAAAAUAUUAAUCUCGUUGAUCACUAACUUCCGAAUAGAAUACAUGCACUUGUAUCACUUUCCACUAGGGUUGGCAGAUGGGUCGUGUCGGGUCGUAUGCGUGUCGGGUCGAUGUCGGGUUUCAGGUCAAAACAGGUCAACCCAUAUAUGACCCGGUUGGUAAACAGAUCAACUCAAACACGACUCUGUUUGACACUGUUUGCUUAGAGGGUUAUUAACUCGACACGGUUAACACGCUUUUGAAAAAAAACAAAUUAAUAAUAAUACUAAAGUAAACCAUGUUUAACAGAAAAACAACAUAUUACUCAAUUUAUUAAAACCUAAGAAAAUAAGGGUUUCAUGUUAAAAACCGUAACUUUGAACAAAAGGUCAAACAAUUUUAGCAAAUUUCUGCCAUUUUUUUCAUUAUUUGUUGUUUAUCUUUCUCUUUAUCACCAUCCAGAUGUGUUGAUAAUUGUGUACGGAGACAAACUACAUCAACUCAAUUCGAAAGCGAUUUACAAAAAACUCUAAUUUUUUUCCAUUUUUAAAUUUCUUAAAUUCCAAUCUCAAUUUCAUCAAUUUUGCACAAAUUCUCAUUCUCUUUAAUGGCUACAGAUGCUUCUUCUUCACCCAAGUUUCAAAAACCCGAUUUCCGACGAACCCCACAACCCAAUUUUAAUCUUGAAAUCACUACUACUACUUUUUUUGCUUUGUUGUUAUUAGAUCUAAUAAAGAAGAAGAAGAACAGAUUUGUUGUUGUUGUUAUUAGAUCUGAAGAAGAAGAACAACUUUGUUGUUUGAAGAAGAACAGUGGUGGAAUGGAAUACAAAGACAAUCGUGUCAAAACGGGUUAUUUUUGGGUUUGAGGGUUGGACACAUACACAACCCACUUAGCAAAUAAACUUAAUGGGUCAGACACGUUAACGACACGAAACAGAUAGGUGUCAACCCAAACACGCAAAAAACGGGUCGUGUUUAUGGAUCCCGUAUCUGCCCAAUCAGAUACUACUACUAUUUUUUUUUUUUUUUUUUUUUAAUGGAAGAUAACUCAUAAUACUACCUUACGUCCUUACCCACUUUAACCCUUAAUACUAAUUAUUACACAAGUUAAUUGGAAACACAACUUUAUAAUUACACUUGAUAGAUCAUGGGUUGGGAACAGAGCAAAUCAAUAUCAUAUCUUUUUUUUCCAGAACAAAGAAGUGGGUGACUCCAUCAUAAGUCAUAACCCCACAAAAACCCUAAAAGAAGAUAAGUUUGCUUCAUUACCUCCUCCCUUCAUUCAUGCUUGGCGUGCAUGAAUGAAUCCAAUACAAAACAGACCCAAUACAAACAUGUGUGCUGUGUGCACUACAGCCCCCACACUCACACUACUACCUACAUCAUCCUGAUGAAAUACUUACAUCACAAUGUAACUACACCAGAGAAUUUUAUGUGUAGCUUACUUGCAUGCGGGUGUUUACAUCCGAAUCACAAAAUCCAUGUGGCAGUAAUAAUAUAACCUAGUAUGGGUUUAGUUAACCCUAGUGGACUGAUCAGUUUUUCAACCAUUUUAUAGACAUGUUGCAUCACAUGAUUGGGUGUACACACCCACAUACAAGUUGGCUACACGUAUAAAUUUUUUUGUCUAGAUCCCAAUUAAGUUACUAAUGGACCCAUAUAUUUAUGACACGUGUACAUCAAGAUGGGGUCCAGAGAUUUUUCAUUGAGCUGAGGUUAAGAUAUUUUUAGCUAGGGUGUUGGGAAAUAGAUGAUUGUAGUGGUAAGGUAAGAGUAGUGAACUAGUGAUGAUGAAUGGUGCUGGCAUAUAUAGCACGCUGUUAAUUUUUGAGUAAGAAAGAAUAUGAUGAUUAUAUCCAUAGCACGCCCACUUCUCAUUGAUUCUAUGCACCACACUCUCUAAAACCAAGACAAACAAGAAAACCUAAUGGAACAUAUUCCAUGUUUUUGGUAUUUCUACAUCCAUUCCAUCAUCAUCUUUUCUCAUACAUAUCAAGUAAUAUGGAAAAGCAAUAUCAUAUCAAACCCACGCGGGCAAAUCAACCUUAGAAAACGCACUUUGUCUACAAGGGUUUCCAAAAUCCAUGCAGUUAUUCAUUCUCUUUUUCUCUACUUUCCCCAACUUGAUAUCCUACAUCAAUUAUGAUUUUGGUUUACAACUACACACCAAAAUCAUAACUUACUGAUCAUUUUCGAUUUCUAUGUCAUUCAUUCUCUCUCACCAAACUUCCAUAUAACGCACUACUUCACCUUCUUUUCCUUACAACAAAUCCAUUACUACUAGUUUUUUUCCUUGUUUAAUUCUCUCUAGUCCCUAGUGUACUACGUUACCAAAGUUAUCCUAAGGUUCUUUUUUCUAUCUUUCAAGCUAAUUAAGAAGAUGGGUAGCAAUGGAAAUGGAGUUCAUGGGAAUGGUGUUAAUGGUCAUGGAAUUAAUGGGAAUGGUAAUGGUCAUUUACCUAUUGAAGGUCGUAGGAAGAGCUGUUGGUAUGAAGAAGAGAUUGAAGAUAACUUGAGAUGGUGUUUUGCUCUCAAUAGGUAUAUAUAUAAAUCUUUAUACAAUUAAUUUGAUUUUCAAUUUAUCAUGUCCUUGUUCAGAUGUUGAUCCUCUUCAUACUGCCAUUGUCUAUUUUCUUAGAUAUCGAUCGUUCUUCACCAAUGGUAAUGUUUUGGACUCGUUACAAUACGUAAUUUGCUUAAUUUGUUCUAUUGAGUUAUGGUUAUGUAGUACAGUAUAAAUGAAAAUUUUCAAAGGUGGUGUUAAGGACUAAAUCUGUAGAAGCAUCAACAAGGUAGAUUAGUGGGAACAUUCUGCUAUAAGUAAAUUAUAUAUUAUUAUUAUUAUAUAGUUAUGUUCUUCUUUGGUCAUCAAAAGCUAGACAAGAUUAAAGUAAUGGAAGAUAAUUAGUUUGGGUAAUACCCACUUAAAGAACAUACUCAUUUCAUACUUUUGAAAUCUUAAUAAAGUUAAACUAAUUUCUCUAUUCACAGCAUAUUGCAUACAGGGUCUAGUCAGUAUCAGGACAUUGCUUUGUUGGACACAAAGCCCUUUGGAAAGGUUUGUUCAUAUCUUCCUUAAAAGCUAUAUAAAAAGUUAAAAGCUCUUUAGUCUCUCACUUUCAAUGAUUUUCUACUUUUCCAUACAAUGCAAGCAGGCUCUGGUCAUUGAUGGAAAGCUUCAAAGUGCAGAGACAGAUGAAUUCAUUUACCAUGAAUGUCUUGUUCAUCCAGCUCUUCUUCAACAUCCCAAGUAUAUCAUUCAUUUACUUUAUGAUUGUUGUUCUACCUUAUCUUCUAUGGAAAUGAGACAUUAAUUUUUAUCUUUGUAUUUCUUUAGCCCAAAGACUGUUUUUAUUAUGGGAGGAGGUGAAGGUUCCACUGCAAGAGAGAUUCUAAGGCACAAAACUGUAGACAAAGUGGUAAUGUGUGAUAUUGAUGAGGUGAGGAAAGGAUUUUCAGUGUGGAGCAACUUCUAAGAUCUUAAACUUUUGCUGUCUGACAAUAUUGACAUGCAUAUUGUGUUGGAUGGUUGUAUGCAUGGAUCAGGAAGUAGUGGAUUUCUGCAAGUCUCACUUGGAUGUGAAUAAGGAAGCCUUCAGCAGUUCAAGGCUUCAACUUAUCAUUAAUGAUGCCAGGGCUGAGCUUGAGAAAAGCAAAGAAUGUUUUGAUGUUAUAAUAGGAGAUUUGGCUGACCCUAUUGAAGGUGGCCCCUGCUACCAACUUUACACCAAAUCCUUUUAUGAGUCCACUGUCAAGCCUAGACUCAGUGAAGGUGGCAUAUUUGUUACACAGGUAAUGUUCAGAUACUCAAUGAGAUGUGAUUUCGAGCUAUGUUUUAGUCAGAUUAUUUUGUAGAAGUCUCCCAAAAGAUCGUAACUCCAUGGAUCCUAACACAGAUUAAUGUAUUUAUGUUUUGCAGGCAGGACCAGCAGGAGUGUUUAGCCAUACAGAGGUGUUUUCAUGCAUCAAUAAUACCCUAAGGCAAGUUUUCAAAUGUAAGUAACACAAAGGAUCCAUACCUUUUUAUCUCUUUUUACUUCUUCUACACAAGUCUACUUGGUAGAGUUAAAAUCUUAAAACAAGUUUACUAUGUGCAGAUGUUGUGCCUUAUUCAGCCCACAUUCCUUCUUAUGCUGAUACUUGGGGAUGGGUCAUGGUAAGUGAAUCGAAAUCUCCCUUGUCAUUCUCAUCAUUGUACUCAACUGUGAGCUAUAAUUUACAUUUUUACGACAUAUCACAGGCUUCAGAUGCCCCAUUCACAGCAGACGCCGAAGAAUUAGAUAUCAGAACCAAACAGAGAAUUAAAGGAGAAAACAGAUAUCUUGAUGGAAAGACAUUUGCAUCCGCAUCCACCUUAUGCAAAGCUGUCCGAAAAUCGUAAGCAUAUUGACAUAUUGAAUUUAAUAUCUGUAGUGAUCUUAUCGUUUUUUAUAUGGACAAUUUCGUUACAUAACUUUAUAUUUUUCCUCUAAUAGGCUGGCUAAGGAGACACAAGUGUACACAGAAGGAACGGCAAGGUUCAUCUACGGCCAUGGUGCAGUUCACAAGUAAAUGACGAGGAGAAGGGAGCUCUUAUUGAAGCACAGAGAGAAAAUAGUAUUCGAACAUAAAUAUCUUUUUCGUAAAUUUUUCCCUCUGUUAUGUUUGGAAGAAAAGCUAGCUCUUCGUGAUUAUUUGUGUUUCCUCUUCUCUUGUACAAGUGUUGGGAUUUCAUGGUUUUACCCUUAAAUUUUUUCUGUUUAACUACUAAAUUAAAUAUGGAUGUUUUACUUGGAAAUUCAAGGUUUUUUUUCUUCCUAAUUCUAUCCUUCCAAGUCAUUCUUUCCAAGUAAUGAAAAUAUGGAUGUUUUCAUAUUACUUGGAAGGAUAGAAUUAUUCAGAGAAAAUCCUUCACAUGUUAACCAAAUUAUAUGUCCAAGUUGUAUAUCGCAUGAUCUCUGUUAUCAAGGUGAGGAGCAAAAACAACAGAGCAACUUAUUUGAACAGGUUCCAGUCUCUGUUUUUCAAAAAUCUCGAUGUACAUUGGGCACAUUGUAAUUACUUGGUGAACUUUGCAACCAACACUCAGCAUUCACAGUCAUGAAUUCACAGUAAUUCUUUGAAAUCCAACUACUAUUUACUAACUUGUUACAUAAUUGGGGAAGGAGUCACUGGCGUGGGCUGACUAAAGCAGCUACUGUGAUGAUGCAGAAUACUCUAUUCUUAGUAUUGAUACCAUAAGUGGGGGAGGCUGGAUGCAAUUCUUGAUUCACAAUAAAUAAAAUUCUUUUAUCAGCAUGUAAUCAUAUAUUUUAUCGAGAAAAAAAAAAAAAAAAAAACAAACCUAUAACUAAAAAUUUGACUACAAAAUGUACUCCUAAAACUUGGAACAUAUGUAUAUUUGUUUUAUUCCAAAUAUCCUCAAUUUAUCCAUAAAACCUCAAAACGAUGAGGUGCAGGAUUUGCAAUGUAUAUUAAGGAUGCAGCUGCUGUUCUCUUAUAGUGCAUAUCUUUGCAAUAUUACAUCAAAAUCAUCCACCAGGGAAAGAACACCAAAGCAGGCUCAGACAAAAAGAAUCAAGCAACAGAUGAUGUUCAGAAGUUGUGCAUGUAAAAAAAAGGCCACAUACAAAACCUUCUCCUUAUUCUCAAUGCAAUACAUAUGUAAAUUACUUUCAGACAGUCUACUUAUAAGGAUAACCCCAACAAUGAUCAUUAUUAACAGGUCAUCGUUCCAAGGUCCAAAUAGACGUGCUUCAGAAUAUUUGCCCCUUUGGAUACUUAUGGUUAUAAAACAAAAAAUUGCCCAAGACUGAACUGAUCAUUUUAAUGAUCACCCUUAAAAACAUGUGAAAAUGAAACACUUGUGAUCGGAUUUCAAUUACUUGGUAAAACUUUGCAACCAAAUGAAUUGCUGUGUCACCAAUCACAACCUGAUUCCAUCUGUUUCAAAAAAGUGUUUGACCCUGAUAGAAAAAUAAAGGAACCAUUAAUCUCUGUCGAAGGCAACAAAGAUACAUUAUGUGAAAUAAGCAUCAAAGUCCCAAUCAACAAUUUUACACAGAGAGAAAAAGGGCAUACUUAGUCACUAGAAGAAACUCCACUUGCAUUACCAUCCCAAGCAUCUCCAUUA